AGUUGCCAAAAAUAAUUAUUCUAUUAGCUACAAUUUAAUACUUUAACCAUCGCAUUUGAACUAAGCAUUACAAUAUAUAAAUAAAAUAAGCUAUAGCAACACUUAUUUUAUGCCCUCCAUUUUAACAUGAAUUUUUAUUAAGUCCGCCACAAAAAAAUUUUUAAUAAAACUUUUUUAUAGCUUAAACCUACUCCACUCUAAAUCAUUCGCAAAAUCUAUAAUUCUGUGAGUUUCAAUCAACGGCUGGCAUCACUAAAUUUGUGGACUUUCAAUGGACGGCCGGCAUCGGUAAAUUUGUGGAACCAUAAGUGGAACCGUAGCUCUGCCCUACUUCAAAAUUUAACCUCUUUCCGCAAUACCUUCGUCCUUUGUAUUUAUAGAACGAACUUACAAAUUUACAUCUCUGUUUUUGUCUAAAGAGUAAUGAAAAUUAAAGAAGUGGGGCCUAUCCCCAUCUACUUUUCCUAAAAUUUCUAAGUAGUUACGUAAAGUAAAGUCUUACAUACAAUUGCUAAAACUAAGAAAGAAAAAAGUCAAUAAUAAUGGCUUACAUUUAUAUUUUUCCUAUGUAAAAGUCUAACAAAUUAAUUAAUGUACAGUAUCUUGUCUCCGUUGAUUUUUGUCGUAUCUGCUCCAUUAUUUGCUCUGUAUCUGCUCUAUUAUUGCUCUGUAUCUGCUCCAUUAUUGCUCUGUAUCUUUAUCCUUCCAGCUGUCAUUUAUUCUAGAUGUACCUCUGGAAUAAUAUUAUCUUCUCCAUUGCACCUCGAACAUUGGUGGUCUGGAUAUUUAUGUCCAAUUAUCUUACAGUAUCUCGUUAGUAGUCCGUCUGAAAUAAAUCCCUUUUUUAUUGCUCGUGCGGUAGAUUGUUUUUCUGGGUUAAGUAGUGUCAAUAUCCACUGUCUUACGUCUUCCAUAUCUGCUUGUCUUAGUUCUUUCGAAUUUGAAUAUAUCAUUUGGUGGUCUCUUGAAUAGUAGCUCCAUAUUGGAUUUCCGUUAGCGUAGUUAUUUGCUAGUUCUUGUAUGAUCGUAGCUAGUCCAAUAAGUCUUUUAUUUGCGUAAAAAUCUGGUAUCUCUAUUCUAGGUAUCUCCGGUUGUCGCGAUAUAUCUUCCGGUAUAAUCAUGUCUCUUGUCAGUCCUAUCUUUACAACUUGUAUCACUGGUUUUAUCUCAUCAUAUAAUAUCUCUGCUGGUGCAGUAUAACAUUUUAUAUAAAAUAAAGUUCCUUUUGUUAUUCUUUUAUAGGUAGUAAAUAUCUUAUAUAACUCCUCCAUGGCUGUUAGCUCUUCUCCGUCUUGGGUGUAUAUGGUAUUUAAUAAUCCAUAGUCAAAACAAGUUUUGACUAGGCUUGGGUUAGUUUUGGGUAGUGCUAUCAGUUUAUUGUAUCCUUGUAGUUUUUGGGUUAUAUAAUUGGUAUUUGGUUCUUGGAUAUUUGUAGCUCUGGGGUUAUGGUUUAGAAAGGUUUGGACUCUAUAUAUAUUUUCUAUGUAUUUUUGGGCUGUGUAGUUGUAUAUUUUCUUGUCUUGGUUUAGGCUGUCUCGGUAUGUAUUAACUUGUGGGGGUAUGAAUAAAUGGUCUUUUUGUGUUUUAGGGGUAAAUGGUUUUUCGAAUAUUUUAUUCAUAUUUGCAUUUUGGUAUCUUGGCUUAUUAACUCCUUUGCUUGUACCUGCAGAAGUAGAUUGAUAAAUGUUAUGGGUUUUAUGGAGUGUCCCAACGUCUCCUUCUAGCUCUGGAUUUUUAAUGUCUNNNNNNNNNNNNNNNNNNNNNNNNNNNNNNNNNNNNNNNNNNNNNNNNNNNNNNNNNNNNNNNNNNNNNNNNNNNNNNNNNNNNNNNNNNNNNNNNNNNNNNNNNNNNNNNNNNNNNNNNNNNNNNNNNNNNNNNNNNNNNNNNNNNNNNNNNNNNNNNNNNNNNNNNNNNNNNNNNNNNNNNNNNNNNNNNNNNNNNNNNNNNNNNNNNNNNNNNNNNNNNNNNNNNNNNNNNNNNNNNNNNNNNNNNNNNNNNNNNNNNNNNNNNNNNNNNNNNNNNNNNNNNNNNNNNNNNNNNNNNNNNNNNNNNNNNNNNNNNNNNNNNNNNNNNNNNNNNNNNNNNNNNNNNNNNNNNNNNNNNNNNNNNNNNNNNNNNNNNNNNNNNNNNNNNNNNNNNNNNNNNNNNNNNNNNNNNNNNNNNNNNNNNNNNNNNNNNNNNNNNNNNNNNNNNNNNNNNNNNNNNNNNNNNNNNNNNNNNNNNNNNNNNNNNNNNNNNNNNNNNNNNNNNNNNNNNNNNNNNNNNNNNNNNNNNNNNNNNNNNNNNNNNNNNNNNNNNNNNNNNNNNNNNNNNNNNNNNNNNNNNNNNNNNNNNNNNNNNNNNNNNNNNNNNNNNNNNNNNNNNNNNNNNNNNNNNNNNNNNNNNNNNNNNNNNNNNNNNNNNNNNNNNNNNNNNNNNNNNNNNNNNNNNNNNNNNNNNNNNNNNNNNNNNNNNNNNNNNNNNNNNNNNNNNNNNNNNNNNNNNNNNNNNNNNNNNNNNNNNNNNNNNNNNNNNNNNNNNNNNNNNNNNNNNNNNNNNNNNNNNNNNNNNNNNNNNNNNNNNNNNNNNNNNNNNNNNNNNNNNNNNNNNNNNNNNNNNNNNNNNNNNNNNNNNNNNNNNNNNNNNNNNNNNNNNNNNNNNNNNNNNNNNNNNNNNNNNNNNNNNNNNNNNNNNNNNNNNNNNNNNNNNNNNNNNNNNNNNNNNNNNNNNNNNNNNNNNNNNNNNNNNNNNNNNNNNNNNNNNNNNNNNNNNNNNNNNNNNNNNNNNNNNNNNNNNNNNNNNNNNNNNNNNNNNNNNNNNNNNNNNNNNNNNNNNNNNNNNNNNNNNNNNNNNNNNNNNNNNNNNNNNNNNNNNNNNNNNNNNNNNNNNNNNNNNNNNNNNNNNNNNNNNNNNNNNNNNNNNNNNNNNNNNNNNNNNNNNNNNNNNNNNNNNNNNNNNNNNNNNNNNNNNNNNNNNNNNNNNNNNNNNNNNNNNNNNNNNNNNNNNNNNNNNNNNNNNNNNNNNNNNNNNNNNNNNNNNNNNNNNNNNNNNNNNNNNNNNNNNNNNNNNNNNNNNNNNNNNNNNNNNNNNNNNNNNNNNNNNNNNNNNNNNNNNNNNNNNNNNNNNNNNNNNNNNNNNNNNNNNNNNNNNNNNNNNNNNNNNNNNNNNNNNNNNNNNNNNNNNNNNNNNNNNNNNNNNNNNNNNNNNNNNNNNNNNNNNNNNNNNNNNNNNNNNNNNNNNNNNNNNNNNNNNNNNNNNNNNNNNNNNNNNNNNNNNNNNNNNNNNNNNNNNNNNNNNNNNNNNNNNNNNNNNNNNNNNNNNNNNNNNNNNNNNNNAUUGAAAAUAUAGUUAUUUCUGUUUUAUUUAUCGAAAAUACUACUAAUUCUAUUGUAUCUUCAGUAUUUUUUAUAUUUUCUAAUUUUUGUGUAAUUUUUUCACUUCCUUUUAUCCAAUCAGUUUUCUUUCUUAUUUUAUUAUUAACUCUUUUUGCUCUUACUUUUUGUUUGCAUGGUGUUGUAAACCACCAGUCUGUUUUAGUUAUUAUAUGUGGGUAUAAUUUAUCUAAAAAUGGCAUUCCUAGCUUUAUAAGUAAUUAAGCUUCCUUCAUUAUUAAAUCCUUUAACUAUUAUUGGUGUUUUUAGUUUAUCCCAUUUGCUUUCUGGUAAGCAAUUAUAUCUACAUAAAUUAGCUUCUGCUCCUGUAUCUAUCAUAGGCGUAUAAUAUCUACUGUAAUAUCCUUCUACUACUAUCUUCAUUAAUACAUGUAUCUUCAUUUCAUGUUAAGGCUCUUUUUAAGAAUAACUUUUCUUUGUUAUAUGUUAAGGUUAAUUGUGUAUGUUCUAUAUUAUAUGGUUUUACUUGUUCCAACCGCUUUCUUCAUUCAUAGGAGUUGUAAGUUAUGGUUCCCUGAAUUUAUAAGGAAAUUUUUCUUUACUAGAUUGGUAAUACUCAAACCAUCUGGUCCCUUUAUAGAGAGAAAAAUGAUGCUUCUAAGCUUGUCGAGAAAAAGAAUUGUUAAGAACUUCACUCACUAGUUAAUUAGUCAAAAUAGUACUAUAAGCCAACUAUUCCAGGCAGAAGUUUAGAAUUAGAAUAUCUUCUCUCUGAAUAGUUUAUCAAAGAGGAACGGAAAAGAAUAAGUAACACAAAUAGAAUGUCCUUCUGAUUCUUGUGAAAGUAACUAGAUUUGUUUGUGUUUGCUGAUUCUAUAUGUGGGACUUAACUUUGCAUUUUAUGAAUCUCUAAAAGACUGGUUGGUCAAAACAAAACCACUUGGUCUAGUUGAUGACUCUACUGAGCUUGCUGUUGUUACAAGGCUAGCAUGUGGGGCUGUGGCAGGGGCUGUGGGGCAAACUAUUGCUUACCCUCUUGACGUUGUACGCAGAAGGAUGUAGAUGGUAGGUUAGAAAGAUCCUGCAUCCAUCAUUACCGGUGAUGGAAAGAGUAAGGCUUCCGUUGAAUAUUCUUGAAUGAUUGAUACUUUUAGGAAAACCGUUAGGUAUGAGGGAUUCAGGGCCAUGUACAAGGGUUUGGUACCUAAUUCGGUAAAAGUUAGUCUUGUUUCCAUACCUUGCACCUUUAUGUGUUGUAACUUUGAUUGAAGUUUAUUUGUUUCUCUUAUUUAUGCACAUAAAAUUAGCAUCCCUUUUGUGGAAACUUUGUUUAAAUAAGAAACUUUUGCCCUUGGGUUGACAUCAUUCUUCAUUACUAUGCUCUACAGGGUAGAUAGCAUCCAGUUUUACUUAUCCAAACCUCUAAUCCACUUUUUCAUAAACAAAUCCUUUUGUAUUAUGCAACUUCUAUUUAACGUAGUACAUAUCACUAUCUCUAAAGAGGUAGAGAGACCAUUUUUGAUAGCCCGACUCAAGACAAAUAACUCAAUUUGCUCUACCUAUGUAUACUAAUUAAUAAUGUAUUACUAUGACAGCUAACUAGCUAACUAUCCUGUUUGCAUUAUAACAUCAGUGGCAUCUUAAUGUAAUGUAACAAGUACUCUUAGUCCCCAAAUCUCAUUGGUUGAGGCUCAAGUUCCUUUUCAUUGAAACUCUUGGUUGCAGUAUUAUUUGGUCUACACGUACCAGUACUGAUAACAUUUUGAUACACAAGUAUGUAUAUAUCAAUUGGUACAGGAAGAUCCAUAAAAUAAAACUAAGACUUAAUCACAAGUCUCUUAAUUAUGCAUCGUCAAAGCUAGCAAAAUCACGAUGCAUAUUGAGAAACAGUAUGAUCUUCUCUAAUUUACCAUUCACUUAAAAUUGACUUACAACUCAUGAUCAACUCUUCCAUAUCAUUUUGGUGUAUGCACCCCUGAAUCUGCCCCUAUAGGAUGUUAUAAGCUCAUUGCGCAAACUUUAACCUACAGUAAGUUGGUCGUUGUAUGGAAGAAAUCAAAACUACAAUAGGAUAGCGCAAUCGUCUUUUAACAACUGAUUUGUUAUAACCUACUGUAUGUUUUUUGUAUGUUGCUUGUUAUAAGCUAUUUUUUUUAUGGGAUUUUCUUAUAUUUAAGUGCUAAUUUAUAUUAUUUUAUUCUCUUUUUAUAGGUGUCCAAAAUGAAGAAAGAGAUGAAGAAAGUGAUGAAGACAUUGACCUUACUUGAGAAGAUUUUUGGGUUGUGGAUAAAUGCUCUAAUAUCAAUAGUUUUGUGUUGACUUUCUUGAAACUUAUCGUAACCCAAACUUUCUAGUAUGUAUAAACUUAACCAAUCAUUUGAACUUGAUUACAUUUUUAUUUUGGGUUUAAAUUGCUAGCUUGAUGCAUAUUUUGAAUUAUGAGAUUAUUAAUGAAUGAUUUUGUUUUGUGAUGUGUAUAUAAAGUGUUAUAAUUUAUUAUGUAUUUAAAUAAAAAUAUACAUUAAUAUGAAUGCCUAUUUAUAUAAAUCAUUUCAAUUUAACAACAUGUUGCUAUAAUUGUUGCAAUAGAUCAAUAAACCAUUCCAAUAGGUAGUCAAAAAGCAUUGCAAUAGAAUAACAAAAGCGUCGCAAUAGAUGCUAUUCCAAUGACUUAAUCUCGUCGUAAUAGAUGUUAAUGCAAUGUUAAUAACAUUACAAAAGAAUCUAUUGCAACGGUUUAAUGUCAUUGCAAUAGAAUCUAUUGCAACGGUUAGUAACCAUUGCAAUAGAUGAAAAAAGGUGUCUCAAUAAGUCAAAAAAUAACCGUCGUCAUAGGUCAAGCUAUAGUGAUAGUUUUCUGACCUAUGGCGAUGGUUCAGACAAACAUCGCAUAAACCAUUUCCAUAGACCUAUCGCAAUGCCCACUAAUAGGACGCUUGCUAAACCAUUGUGGUAGAGCUAUAGCAACAGUUUUUUCAUCUAUUGCAAUGGUUUUGCAACCAUCACCAUAAGGGUAAUUUCUAGUAGUGUAUGGUGUGAAGAAUUGAGGUAUUGUACAUGAAUUUCCUAUUUGAACAGCCAGCUAACUAUAAGUUAAGCCUUGUGAGAGAAUUCUACGCCAAUUGGGACCCAAAAAAAGAUGAUGAGAUUGUGGUACGGGGUCGUGUGAUCACUUUUAACGCUAAUACUGUGAAUGAGCUGCUAGGUAUACCCGUUGUGGAAGCAGAGCCAUUGAAAAGAUUUAUUAUUAAGAUACCAUAUCAUCAUAUCCGUCAUUUCUUAUGUGACACUCAUUUGACAGCUAGGUGGAUUCGCCACAAAUAGGGUGGUACUCAUGUGUCCAUUCCUUUUUCUUAUAUGAACAGGGAGGCUCAUUUAUGGAUAAAAUCAUCUAUGAUUUCCUAGAUCAUCGUACUCAUAUGACGGAGGUGAAUUGUGACAGGGUUUGUAUCAUCUAUGCUCUUAUAUGUGAAGAUGUGGAGUUGAAUGUUGACACUAUUUUUUUUCUUUGAUGAGGAAAGCCAUAUUUUUUGGGGGCCGUCAAUAUAGUUUUUGGUGGGAUGUUGUCUAGAUUUCUGAGGCAACAGGGUAUGCUCAAGGAGGAGGUUGAUUAUAGACCACCGGUAGGUGUCAGACCAUUGGAUUUUUCCUGUACUAAGGGACCUGCUCCUAAUGGUCUCAAUUUGACUAUGCUCAAGCGUCAAGAUAGGAAUGAAAUAAUCACAGCUCAGAUAUAUGGGCUUAUUAUGUUGAAGCUGAAGAUUGGGGACGUCCAGACACCCAACAGGAGAUUCGUGUUGUCAAGUUGGACUACCCACUAGGACCUAAUGCUUAGACUAUGCUGUGAAUUGGCCCAUAUUUUGAUAAAUCAUUGGAUGAUGAUAUCCCCAUGGAUGAGGUGAGACACAUGGGUUAUUCUGAUGAUGAAUCCAUGGAUGAAGAGCAGAUGGAUGAUGGAGAUUCAGGUGAUGACUUUGGUCAUGAUGAAGGUGCCGAUGAUGAUGUUAUGGCAUUAGUAUCAUUCGAAUGAACAGGGAGUACGAUACCACCCUGCCUUAUGCUUAUUUCUAGCACAGGGAUAGUGCUACGUUUAAGUGUGGGGUGGUUGAUCUUUUAUCUUCAUCUUCAAUUUCUGAAUUAUUUUUGGGUUUUGGUUGAACAAUUUCUAUUUCUGUUAUGUUUUUAUGUUUUGUUGGGUUGUAAGCUGACAGUGUGAAUUAUUGCCCUCUUUGGCAAAUUUAUCUUAAAGUGUUCUAGUUUAAAUUGUUUGUUUUAUUUAUUUUCACCCUUCAUGGUAAUUUUUAGUCUACAGUAAUUAUUUGUGCCCUUCUUGGUAAUUCUCAUUUUUACAUCAUUAUAGUUAGUUGCCUUUCCCUAUGAUAAAUGGAUGAUGACCUUCUUAUGGGGAGUGCUCUUUCCAAGCUGAAAAAAUGAUAAGACCCCGAUUGUGACCAUUGAAAAAUGUUGUGUGUUGGGCAAGAUUUUUUUUGUGUGAUUACAAAUAUAAUUGCUUCGAAACAAAAGACUAAGUGUGUUUAGAUGUUAAAUCCCAACAAGUGUAGUUUGAUUUUAUUUGCUUAACGUUGAAUUUGAUAAAGAGCAAUAUCGAGAACCUAAGGAUCGAACUUGAUUCUUAGCAUGCACCGAGUGAGUGAGUAUUUGUCUAUAGUCUAUAUGUAUAGGAAUGUCCACAACUUGUCCGGUAUAUUUACAAAGCAAAAUAAAGGGUUUUAGGUGUAGGAAGUAAUUUAGGCAUUUCUUUGUUAACCGAAAUGUAAAGACUUUAUUUCCCUACCCUUAUGCAUGUCCUUAGUUAGCCCCGUUGAGCCUAUAGCCUAAUUUAUUUGGUAGUAUUAUCCAUAGCCUAAUCCUUUCUUUGAUAGACCUUAAUUUGAUCCAUAACUCCUAAGCACUUUAAUAUGGAUAACUGAAUAAGAAGGGAGUGUGAAAUAUAAGAAGGAGAAAGGUAAAAGUGAAGUUGUAAAGGAAUGUUCAUUGUGUGUUUAAUUGUGAUGGAUAGGAGCUAGAAAAAAUAUGAAAGAAAUUUAAGUUUUUGUUGCCCAAUUUUGUUACAAUGAACCUAUUUGGCCCUGGUCCGUUUAGGACAAUGUGUACCUUAACCAAGGCAAAUUACUUAGGUUGAGGGUGGCUACUAUAGGGGUACGUAACAAGAAUUGGGGUGUGAAGAAAAGAUGAGAAUUGAAUUAUGAUGUAAAUAGAAAAAUACUCCUACUGUAGUGUUUUUAAUAUGCUUAUAAAGAUUGGGGUGAAACAAUAAAUGUGUAAAGAUAAUAAAGUGAAAAAUUGGGUUAGUAAAAUGUGAUUUUGAAUGUGAUUUCAAUUGACAAUCAAAAGUGGCAGACUCUGCCAAUGUAUCCUUGGGGAACAACCUACAACAAUAGUUUUAGCAACAACAGUAGCAUAAUACUGAGGCCAAUAACAUUAAAGAGACUCUAGAAAAGAUUUUGGCCAACCAAGAACAUAUGGCUAAUGAAAUAAAAAAUUAGCAAAUUACACAGAAAUAGUUAAAGCAGCAAGCGGGGAAACUAAGGAAGGAACAGAAUACAAGGCCUUAGGGUGGUUUACCAAGUGAUAAUUAAUGUCCGAAUCAAGUAGUGACAAUCACUUAUACGAGUGGAAAAGAGAUGAAUGAUAGGCCUCCAAAGACAAAUAAGAAGGUAGAUAUAGAGUUAGUUCCUCAAUCAAUUACAGAUAAAGUUGUUAAAAGUUUGGGAAAGUCUGAGUACCCAAAAAUAAAAGUUGUUUAGAAAGAAAUACCACCAUCGUUCCCACAGUUGUUCUAGAAAGAAAAGGAGAAUGAAUGCUUCAAGAAGUUCAUUCACACAUUCAAAGAGCUCCACAUUAACCUUUCUCUUCUAGAUGUUUUGCAAGGAAUGCCUAAGUAUGCUAAGUACUUGAAGGACAUGGUGACAAGCAAAGUUAAGAUGCAGGAUAUUAAGACUGUGGUACUAACGGAGGAGUGCAACUAUAUGGUAAUGAAAAAGGUACCCAAAAACCAUAAGGACCCAGGAAAUUUCACCCUCCCUAUUUAGAUUGGUGACAGUGAAGUGGUACAUGCUUUGAGUGAUUUUGGGUCGAGUAUAAAUUUGAUGCCUAUGUCUAUGGUCAAAACUCUUUGGUUGGGUGAGCCAAAACCAAGCUCUUUGAUAAUCCAAUUGGCGGAUAUGACCUUAGUUAAGCCUGAAGGAAUAAUUGACGAUGUCCUCAUAAGGAUUGGUAAGUUUGUAAUUCCUAUUGAUUUUAUUUUCAUGGAUUUUGAUGCAGUUAGCAGGGUGUCAAUCAUUCUAGGAUCUCCAUUCCUAGCCACGUGAGGAACAUUGAUAAAUGUGAGAGAGUGCACUCUCACAAUGAGAUUGGAUGAUGAAAUGGUAUUUUUUAAGGUGUAUAAUCCACUUAAUCCAUCUUCCUACUAUAAGGAUUUAUGUAUAAUUAUAGUGAUUGAAGUGGGUAAGUAUGGGGUGGUAGAAAGUGCACCACUAAAGACCUCUUUGGACAGUCUCAUUAAGCUGCCUAAGACACUACCUAAACCCGAGAGGAUGAUGGUUGAUAAGCAUAAAAAGGCCAUCAUUGAGAAAGCCAUUGACCUUGGGAGUUCACACUUAUGAGGUCAAAGGAGAGUGAUAAGAAGGCCUCCUAGUAAAAGGAAGAGGAUGAAUAAAGUUGGUUGAGUUUUGAUGUUGUGUCGUGCCAAGACACUAAAUUAGGCAUUGCUUGGGACUAAGUAUGGGGUCCCCAAACCCUCUUGAUAUUAAAAGAAGCUACUAGCUAGUUCUAGAGGCCCUAGGGAGUAUUUCUAUCUCUACUUUAAAAUCUAACUUUGGGGAAGUAGAUUUUUAAGUGUGGCAUAGGGAAAUUCCCAUGUUUUGGAUAAAGUGAUGCUGUAGGAUCUUAGUUUUAGUUGUUUUCUUAGUUUUUUUGGGUUAAAUUUAAAGUUUUUAAGAAAAUAGAAAAAUGAUUUUACUUUUUAGUUUUUAUUUUGUGGGUGUUAGUUGAGUAGGUGCUCACUUCACCAACCCCGUGGUUGUUGUUUUUUUUGUUUUUCCCAUAGGGGUUAUGAUAAGAGAGAUGUUCUUAUUGGUUCUACGUGUGAUUGCAUGAUGCAAGUGGAUUUUGUGUGUAAAAGUAUGUUGUUGUGUGAAUUACUACUUUUUAGACUCCUAGGCUUUGGUUUAUGACUCUUGUAAGUUGUUGGCUUAAUUUUGAAGUUGUGUAAUUGUUUGCUAAGAGUGUAUGAAGAUCCUACUUUACUUGAUCAUGUGCCAUGUAUGUGUUAAUUUUUUUGUGUAUUCCUUGUUGCAUGUAAUAUCUAGAACUUUCCUAGUGUGUGUACAAAGCAAAAUAAAGAAUGUGAGUUUAGGAUAUGAUAGGCAUUUCAUUGGAAACCUUAUUUCAUACCCUAUUUAAUCUACCUUGGUUCAUAAUCCUAGUGAGCUAUUGAGACUUUAGCCUAUUUUGUUGGUAGAUUUAUAUGUAGCCUAAUUCCCUUUCUUUGUGUGACCUUAAUUUAAUCCAAAGCUCCUAAUCUCUCUAGUUGAAAAUUAAUGAAGUAAAUGAGUGUGAAAACAAGAAGAAAAGUGGUGAAAGUGAGGCCCCAAAAAGUAGCUUUUGGUGUUGCAAAAGUGAUAUGUGUUGUGAGUGGGAGUUGUGUGAUGAAAAAGACAUAUUGUGUUAAAAUUUGAUUUUGAGUUGAAAAAGAAUGCUCUUUCCGAAUUAUACCUGACUUGCUUAAUGAAAUGGGGCAAAACAAAAGAGAAUGGGCAUGACAGAAGUGGGGAAAAUUGGUUGUUAAGAGAUUAAUCUUAAUGUUCAUGUGAUGUAUUAAAGCAUUUAGGGAAGCUAGUCACUAUUAUUAGCCAAAUAGUUCCUACCCGUCCCUUAGCCUAUAUUACAACCCUAAAGACCUAUUUGAUCUUGAGCCUUAACAUUUUGGUAUUAGUGGAGUAAUACACUAAGGCAGAGCCUAUGGUUCUUCUUCUGUAACUUGUGAAAUCUUUGUGAGAGUGAGCGUAAAUUGAUUCUUAGGCCUAUUAUGUGAUAAAUUGCAUCUAUGUGCAUGAUUAUGAGUAACUCUCUAGUUGUGAGGGAACAUGUUUGAUGAUUUGGGUGAGUUUUUUCAUCUCUUUCAUUAAGUGAUAAGCAUGAGUUUUUCGACUAAGUAAGUAAAUUCUUGGGGUUAGGAUGAUUAGAAGUAUCAUUCAUGAGCUUUCAAUUGUGUGUAUAACAUGCUUAGUGUAAAAACUUGCAUUCUGUGGAGUUAUUAUAGUGCUGGCUUAAUUUUCUUCUGUGUUGUAGAAGUACGGAGUCUUCACUGAUUAUGAUGCAUAAAUUAAAGAGUUUUUCAAGGAUUAACAAGGCCUUAAGUAUGGGGUGAUGAUCUAAGGUUGAUUUAUGCACCCCAGUCUUGUUAUUCAGUCUUUUGUAGCCUUAUUUUGAGGGCUUCUUGUGUUCUUAAUGAUUAAUUCUUUGUGGAAAUAAGCAUUUAAGUGUUUUUUUUAUGUAAAUUUAAUGUUCAAACCAUGUUUAUAAUGAAGUUGACGUCAAAACACGAAGUUAAUAAUUGAGGGACAAUAGCUAGUACUCUUAGCUUGAGCUAUGGUCUACCAGUUUAUUAUCUUGAAUCAUAUGUUGUUUUGAGCUCUAAUGUAUGGUGUUUGAUAUUGUAGGAAGCUUGGAAAUUUGAUCAUUAUGGUAUAUAGUUGAUUAAAAAUAUGUAAAUCAAGUGUAAAUAACACCAUAGAUCAUGGACUUAAGGGACAAAAGCAUUGGAGAAUAACUAAUCAAAGUUUGAUGUUUUGGUGUACUUGGCAUGCCACGCUUCCUAGGUUCCAUGAUAUGGACUUGAAACACCCUUUAAAAUAUUGUUGAGGACUAACUCCAGUAUCUCACUGUAUUUUUAGAGUGCCUUGCUUCCUACAUGGCGCAAUAUGGGCAUUGCACCCCCCUAAGUCAAAAUCAACAAUUCAUGUUCUACUUUAAAUAGGACACUUAGUUAUUGUAUUGGACACAUUGGAAGACCUUGUGACUUGAAAGGAUGUUGGAGAAAACUUUAAUUAGGUUUCUUUUAUCUCCUUAAUUUAGUUUGAUUGUGGAUUUUAACAUGGAUUAUACUAUUGUGAUUCUUGUUAUGUCUAUGGACGGCAAAACACCCAUUUCCGCAGUUAAGGCCAAGAACAUGAGUUCUAUUGUUUGGAAUUGAAUUGUUUAUUCAUUAUUGGUUGCUUAUUUAUCCUUGUUAUUACUAUUUUAAGGAUUAAUGAACCUUGGAAUACAAGCUAUUACUCUAUUGUGAACCCAGAAGUAUGAAUGGUAGAGUAGAACGUGGGAUGAAUAGAAUAGGAUCGUAAACUUCAUGUAAUGAUGUUGUGAUUUGAACAUAGUAUAGGAAUAUAAUUAUGUUCCCUAGUUGGUUCUAUUACGAGGUCAAUACGAAAGCAUCUAACUUAGUUCUCAUAUCCUCUCUCAAUAAUAAACUUUUGGGGAUUAAGUUGGAUGAAUGAUUAGAGGUUUGGAAGGCCAUGGUCAUAGUAUAGACCCCGUGAACCAACAACCAAGAUAAGUAACCUAACCAAUGAACUUCCACAAUGUAUUAUGAUAGUUCUCAUGUCCUUAAUCCUUGUCCUUUCCCAUUGAUUAUUUCACAUUGUUACUUUACCGCAUUAUUUAGUUUUACAGUUAUUUAUAACUUACAAACUCUUUUGGUUACGUAGCACUUGAUUAAUCUCAUUAGUGAACUAAGCUUGGAUAGUUGUCCACACAAGUUUUCAAGGGAUCAAUAUUCAACUUUUUAUAAGGUUACUGUAUUACUUUGUGAGACCACGUACACUUGCACAUGUAAUUAGGCGCAAUAAGUUUUUGGCGCAGUUGUCAGGGACUUAUAAUUUUGCAACCAUUGUGGUUUUAGUUUUAUUUUUUGAUUUCUUUGGUUCUUUUCACUUAGUCUUGGUUUGUGAAUUUGCAGGCAAUAGGUUAACAAGAUAGUAAGCUGGUAAGGGACCAAGAAUUGGUUGAACCAUACCCCGAGACCUAGCAACGCUUCCAUCAACAAAGGAGAGAAGCAGUUCUUCUCUACCGUAUCCUGCAAAUUCAUAAGGAACAAGACACUUUUGAUACUAUAGCUUAAGAUCUACCAGCCCAUGGGAUAGUUUGUGAAGUGAAAAUUGCACUUGCAAUAAAUGUGACCUCCAUUAUUUGUAGACAGACUCCUAGAGGUAGAUUUGAAAUGAAACAAAACAUGGUAAAACUUUUUAAUAGCAAUGGACAGUUCACUGGGAUUUCACAUGAAGAUCCACAAGUCCAACUGCAAAAUUUUAUAGAUAUUAGAGUCACAUUCAUUUCGAUGGGUGUUUCAACUAAUUAUGUGAGGCUGACACUCUUCCCUUUUUUCACUUUUGGGGGAAGAAAAGAAGUGGUUGAACACUAAGCCGGCAGGUUCAAUCAAAAUUUAGGAUGACUUAGCCCGGAAAUUCCUUAUUCGUUUUUUCCCAUGUGGAUAGACUAUGAGACUUCAUGGUGAGAUAUUGAGCUUCAAGCAGAGGCAAGAUGAUAACCUAUAUAUGCUUGGGAGAGGUUCAAUGAUCUUAUUUGAGAUUGUCCACAUCAUCAGCAGUCUAAUGAUGUAUUAGCUAACACCUUUGUAAAAGCUCUUGACCAUAAUAUAAAUAUUUUGCAAGAUUUAUCUACAGGUGGUCAAGCAUUGGAAAAGACUUUCGAAGAGUUAUACACCUUAUUAAAUUAAAUUGCACAAGGAAAUUAGGAUUUUCAUGGAGAUACCUUAAGGAGCUAGGUGAAAAAUAUUGCAAGUAUGAUUGAAGUUGAUAGCAUCACUGCAUUGGCCGCCCAACUUUUAUCUAUGCAUAAUCUAAUGUUUAAUCAAUUCAGCAAGUUGGGUAUGCAUCAACAUCAGGCUCAGGUUAAUAUGGGUCAGUAGGCUCUGUAUGGUGUGAGAUAUAUGGCAAUAGUGACCACUCUGUAGACGUAUGAGGCACAAAUCUUGAAUUCAUCAACUUUGUGGAUAAUGCAUAGAAGCCGAACAAUGGUAAUACCUACAAUCAAAAGUGGCAAACUCCGCCAAUGUAUCCUUGGGGAAACAACCAACAGUAACAACAUAAUACUCAGGCCAGUAACAUUGAAGAGACUCUAAAAAAGAUUUUUGCCAACCAAGAACAGAUGGCUGCUAAAAUAAAAAAUAAUCAAAUUGCAGAAAAAUAGUCAGACCAACAAGUAAGACAACUGGCGCAGGAAAAUAAUACAAGACCUUAGGGUGGUUUUCUAAGUUAUAAUGAACCUCUGAAACAAGUAAUAGAAAUCACUACGAGAAGUGGUAAAAAGCAAAAUAAUAGGCCUCCAAAGACAAAUAAAAAGGUAGAUUCAAAGUUUGUUUCUCAACUGGUUGCAGGUAAAGUUGAUGAAAAUUUAAGGAAGUUUGAGUACCCAAAAAUAAAAGUUGUUGAGAAUAAAAUACCACCACCACCAUUCCUACAGCUGUUCCAAAAAAAAAAGAAGGAUGCAUGCUUCAAUAAGUUCUUUAACACAUUCAUAGAGCUACACAUUAACCUUCCUCUUCUAGAUGUUUUAAAUGGAAUGCCUAAGUAUUAUAAGUACUUGAAGGACGUGGUGACUAACAAAGUUAUGCUUCAAGAUAUUGAGACCGUGGCACUGACGGAGGAGUACAACUCUAUGGUAACGAAAAAAGUGCCUAAAAAGCUUAAGGACCCAAAAAAUUUCACCCUUCCUAUUCAGUUUGGUGAUGGUGAAGUGGUACAUGUCUUAAUAAAUUUGGGUGUGAGAAUAAAUUUGAUGCCUCUAUCUAUGCUUAAAACUCUUGGGUCGGGUGAGCCGAGACCAAGCCCUUUGAUGAUCCAAUUGGCGAACAAGACCAUUGUUAAUCCCAAAGAAUUAAUUGAGGCAUCCUUAUAAGGGAUGGUAUUUUUGUAAUUCUUGUUUAUAUUAUUGUCAUGGAUUUUGAUCUAGAUAGUAGGUGCUGAUCAUAAUGGGAAGUCUAUUCUUAGCCACGAGAGGAGUGUUGAUAGAUGUAAGAGAGAGCACUUUCAUAAUGACAUUGGAUGGUGAGCGGUAAUUUUAGGGUGUAUAAGACACUUAAUCCACCUUCUCACUAUAUAGAUUUACGUAUAAUUAUAGUGAUUGAAGUGGAUAAGUGUGGGGUGGUAGAAAGUGCACCACCAAAGGCCUCUUCAAACAGUCUCAGUUAGCUACUCGAGACACUACCUAAGCCCAAGAGGAUGAUGAUUUAUGAGCUUGAAAAAUCUAUUAUUGAGAAAGUUACUGACCAUGAGAGUUCACACUCAAGCGGUCAAAAAAGACUGAGAAGAUGGCCGCCAGGUAGAAGGAAGAGGAUGAAGGAAGUCGGUUGAGUUAUGAUGUUGGGUCAUGCCGCGAUACUAAAUCAGGCGCUUUUUGGGAGGCAAACCAAGUUAAGGUAGUUUUUAUUUUCAAUAUUUUAGUUUUUACUUCAAGUAGUGUUUGUUUUUUUUAGUCAAAGGUUGAUGGGAAAUCUGAGUACCGGAGACCCCAACGAUGGAGCAUGGCAGAGACUAAUAGUGGGGUCCUUAGAUUCUCUUAAUGUUUAAUAAUUCUACUAGCUAAGCCACGAGGCCUAAGGGAGUAUUUCUGUCUCUACUUUUAAAUCUAAAUUUAGGGACAAAGUAGAUUUUUAAGUGUGGGGUGGCAAAAUUCUCAUGUUUUGGGGUGAUUUGAUAUUGUAAGAUAUUAAUUUUAGUUGUUUUCUUAGUUGUUUUGGGUUAAAUUUAAAUUUUUCGUAAAAACAACAAAAAGAUUUUGAUUUUUAGUUUUUAGUUGUGGGUGUCAAUUGAGAAGGUGCAUACUUUACCCACCUUGUAGUUGUUCUUUUUGAUUUUUUUUCAUGGGAGGCACACUUUAAACCCAAUAUCAUUUUUCUUCAUAAGAGUAAGUUAUUAGUUUUAGCAGUGAUUAGGAUAAGUGAGAUAUCAUUGUUGGUUCUAUGUAUGAUUACAUGAUACAAGUGGGUUUUGUGUGUAAAAGCAUGUUGUUGUGUGAACUACUAUUUUUGAGACUCCUAGUCUCUGGUUUAUGACACUUGUACAUUGUUGGCUUAAUUCUAAAGUUGUGUGAUUGUUUGGAUGAGAGUCUAUAACGAUCCUACUUGACUUGAGCAUGUGCCAUGUGUGUGAUAUUGGUUUUUGAAUUCCUUGUUGCAUGUGAUGUCUAGAACUUUCCUAGUGUGUGUACAAAGUGAAAUAAAGUGUGUUGGUUUAGAAUAUGGUAUAGGUAUUUCAUUAACAACCUUAUUUCAUACCCUAUUUUAUCUAUCUUGGUACAUAAUUUGAGUUAGCGUCAUGGAGCUUCUAGCCUAUUUUGUUGGUAACUUCAUAUGUAUCCUAACUCCCUUUCUUUGUGUGACCUUAAUUUGAUCUAAAGAUCCUAAGUGAUUUAGUUAAAAAUUAUUGAAGUAAAUGAGUUUUAGAACAAGAAGAAAAGUGGUGAAAGUGAGGCCCCAAAAAGUUGCUAUUGGUGUUGGAAAAGUGAUAUGUGUUGUGAAUGGGAGUUGUGUGAUGAAAAAAAGAGAUAUAGUGCUAAAAUUUGAUCUUGGUUCUAGUACGAGAUGAAUAAGAAAGAAUUUAACUUAGUUCUCACAUCGCCGCUUAAUGAUGUAGUUGUGGGGGUAAAGUUGGAUAAAUAAUUUGACAUUUAAAAGGCCAUAGUCAUAGUAUAGACCCUGUGAACAAACAAUCAAUAUAAGUAACCUAACCAAUGAAGUUCUACAACAUAGUAUGAUUUUACGUAGAGGCUUAACCCUGGUCUUUCCCCAUUGAUUUUAUCAAACUGUUACUUUACCGCAUUGUUUAGUUUAUAGUUAUUUAUAACUUACAAACUCUUCUGGUUACGUAGUACUUGAUUAAGCUCAUUAGUGAACUAAGCUUGGAUAGUUGCCAACACAAGUUUCUUAGGGAUCGAUAUUCAGCUUUUUAUAAGGCCAAUGUAUAUCUUAGUGGUACCACUUAAAAUUGUGUAUGCACUUGGGUGCAACGCUUUCCAACUUACUAGAGAUUCAAAACUCUACCUCCAAGUUAAAUGCUAAGGCUAAGUUAUCAGCACUUCUAAAAUAGAUUAUCAAAAUUAAAAAAUGAGAGGGUUGUUAAUUUUUAAGUCCCCAAAAAUAGCGCCAAAAACUUGUUGCGCCUAAGAGCACAUGCAAGUGUACGUGUUCAACCAAGUAGUAAAGUGACUCUUAUGAGCCGAUUAUCGAUUUCACAGGGACUUGGUUUUUUUUCUACCAAACUAUCUAAUAUAAAUGUUUCUAUUAAAGCUUAAAAGUGCAAUUUGUAACCAACAAGAGUUUUAAGUGUUGAAAUUUAUAACAUUAGUAAUUAAAACAAGAAUGAUAUGAAACUUGGAUUGUAAACAAUAUAUGGAAAUUCCAGGAUUGAGGCAUUUGGAUCAUAUUCAUGCACAACUAUGGUUUCUAGCUGAUGUUUCAUCAACCAAAAUCAAUCUCACAAUGUAUGAGUCUUUCAUUCGGAUGUGUUAAGCUAUCUUCCCGUUUUAUGAACCAAGUGGGGAGUUUAGUAUAUCCCUAUCCUAACCGUAAAUCAUCCUUCAAAAAUUAGUAUCUAAAAGUUAAAAAUAUGAUCCAUACUAGCUACAUUCUUUAUUUUGUCUCUCCGCUCACAUGAUCAAUUCGUUUUGAGGCUUAGAUUUAUCCAAAAGUUCAUGACGCUUUAGAAUAGUAAAACAAGAAUGCAAGAACAAUCACAUGACUUGCUAACCAUAUACACCAACUAUAAGACCAUAAUUACAUAAUCAUAUUUUAGCCUCAACCACAGAAAGAGGGAGUUUAUCCAUUUAUAGUCUUACAAAGAAUCACAAUAAUUGAAUUCAUAAGUAAAAACUACAAGAGAACCAAAGUAAAGAAGGAAAACCCUAGUGUAGAGCCCCUUUGAUGUCUUCUCUUAUCUCCAAUCUUGUGUUAUUCCAAAAGUGAGGUCUAAUUGUGACUAUGUAAUCCAUUUAUUGUUUUUUACAUCUUCCAUAGUCUUCCCCAAACAAAACAUAUGCAUUUACAACAUUGCCCCUAACUUAAAGACAUAAAAAAUCAAUUUUUGGACGUCUAGGGGUGUGCGCCGCAAGGCCAAAAGCAUGGCCUAAGGGGUUCAGUGCACACCCAUAGAAUGGGUGACGUAGUUUGACCUCGCCUAGGGAAGGGCUCAAACUAAGUUAAACUUGUAUAGAUAAUGACACUUAGGUAUAUAUAUACUCCUACGAUCAAUGACUUGUAUGUUCCUCUUAUGGUUGGACUAAACCAAAAUGUCAUAAAUAAAUAUUUUCAUAAAAGCGUAUUAGAAAUACUCAAAAAUCCCAGAAAUGGCAUCAACAUAUUAGUCAAUCCAAAAGAUAUCAUUAGGAACUCAUAAUGCCCAUAACGAGUCCAAAAAGUUGUCUUAGGUAUGUUUUCAAGCCAAAUCUUCAACUGAUGGUAACUGGACCUCAAGUGGAUCUUGAAAAAUACUGAAGCACUCUACAAUUGAUCAAAGAGAUCAUCUAGAUGAGGCAAGGGAUACUUAUUUCUGAUGGUAACCUUGUUAAACUGCCUAUAAUCAAUGUACAUUCUCAUGCUACCAUUUUUUCUCUUUAAAAAACAACACUGAGCACCCAAAGUGAAGCAUUGGGAUGAAUAAAUCCCUUAUUAAGGAGUUCUUGUAACUUUGUUUUAAGUGUUAAUAGAGCCAUAUGAUAAGGAAGAAUAGAAAUUAGGUGAGUUCCCCACUCCAAAUCUAUAUAAAAACCAAUAUCCCUAUCUGGAGGCAUACCAGACAAAUUCGUAGGAAUUACCUCCUAAAACUCAGACACCACGUGAAUAGACUCAAUAGAAUGGGACCCUACAUUAAUAUCCCGAAGAUAAUCCAGGAAGCCUGAAUAUCUUUCCCCACUAGUUUUCUAGACCAAAUAAAAGAUAUGAUUUUCACCGGCUUAGAGUUAUACAUUCCCUCUAUUCUAGUUUACCCAUAUCUAAUAUUUCUAAAGUCACUGUCUUAGCAUUACAGUUCUAGACAACAUGCUAUAAGAACCAAGUUAUACCCAAAAUAAUGUCAAAAUCAAGUAUUUUCAAAAUGAUCAAAUCUACCCAAGUUGGAAACCCAUAAACAACAUAGAACAUGCACGAUAAACAUAGGUCACCACCACAGAAUCUACAACCAAAGUAGAAAAUACAUAAGAGAUUCAAGUACAUUACAAACAAAAUCCAGACCAACAGAAAAUCUAACAGAUCAUAAGAGUAAGUGUAACCCUGAUCAAAUAAAAUUUAAAGUCAUCCGGUCACAAAAGAGAAUAGUAGUUUUAAUAAUGGAACAAGAUGAGUCAACCUUAGUCUUUCCUGGGAAGGCAUAACAGUGAGCUCUAUAGUCUAGUUGGACAACCUUUCUAGCUGGCUACGCUCCUCUCUUCCCUACAUUACUAUUACCUUUGUUGCCACUAUCACCUUCCUAAUUAUUACCCUAUCCACCCUGUCAACGACCUUACCAUUGCCAGCUCUACCUCUACCUACUAGAAUAAACUUUUGGUCUAUUAUUGUGCUUGAUAACCUACCUAUCUCAAAAGAUACUCUCUUUUGAAGUUCCCUACGACACACCAUACUAGUAAAAAUCUCAUUCAAAAUAAGGUCAGUUGGCUGAAGAAUAAGUGGCACCAUGGCCUUUGGCAAAUGUAGGCUACUGAAUAGCCCCGAAAUAACCACCUGUGGAGGUUAGAAAACCUAAAUAAAUAGAAAGGGCUAGAUGAACCUACUGGUUGUGACCCCUAGAAUAUGAACCAAUAAGUUACCCAUAUUUUUGGACUUCUUAGCUAAUGCCUUAGCCUGAACAACCUACUGAACUCCCUCAAGCUUUUUCACAUAAUUAGAUACAUCAUUAUAUCUCUUUCAUGUAUAAGUCAUGUGAAUAUACAUAACCUGAAUAUUUGUGUUCAAGCCUUUAACAUAUUACCUGAUCUUUUUCUCCUCAAAGCCCAAAAACUGGGUAUCGUAAUGAAGCAGGGCACGAAACUUGGCCUCAUAGGCACAACAGACAUAGUUCCCUAUUCAAGGGCUAAAAUCUCAUCCUUAUUAUGAUCAAAGAGCAUAUGAGGCACAUACUUCUCUAAAAAUAGGAUAUGAAAUUGACAAGUCAAUGGAAGCUAAAUGGGUUAUCGACAAUCCACAUAGGCUUUCCACUACUCAUCCCCAAAUAGCUGGCUCAGUACCUGUAGUUGUUACUCUCACUACAUUCAACCUUGUCUUCACCAUCUAUGAACAAAAAAAUGAAGAGGGUGAGAUACCAAUUUAGAUCAUUAGAUACCAAUUGAAAUAAAGAUAUAGCAUGAAAAAAGAAAGAAAGAAUAGUUGCCUAAGGUCCUAUAGUCUCUCUCAUAAAAAGUACAGACGUCUCUGUUUUGUUCUGCAAGAAUCUACUAGAUCCAUUUUCGUAUGAUGAUAUCAAUGAAUUUAGGGCUCUAAUACCAACUUUUUCAUGACUUAAACCCGCUGGCACACAUACAAAACCCCCAAUAGAAGAACCAACCAACUUUAUAACUUAAUCAAUACUUAGCUAAAAAUAGAUAACUAAAACUAAUUAUAUCCAAAAAGAUCAAUAUCUAAUAAUAUAACAAAAGUUAACAAAAAAUACGAAAAAAUACUCUAUAGGAACUGAAAGUCAUCGUAUUAAAACUCUAAUAAAUAUUAGAAAAAAGGGAUGCAACCUCAGAAACUAUUGAAAUGUUCGAGUACAAAACAAAGGGACCAUAAAAUAAUAGAAGAAAUCAUGGUAGCCCAAAAGAUACAUCUCGCCCUUGAGCUCGAACAUGAUCUAAAUCAUAACUAAACUCUUAUAAUUUUCACUUGAAUAUAUUUUGUAUUCAACGAAAAGAAGAGUACGUAUAUUAUCAGCACAAAAAAAUCAUGGUGUGUUGGUAGGGUCCUUAAUCAACCCAAAAUAAGAAAUAUGGACACAUAAUCAAAACAUAGAACAACAAGACAACCAUUAACCCUAUUACGCAACUAUCUUUCAAGUUUAUAAUGAAGUUUAGUCAAAAAUUUUAACAAAGAUAACUAGUCAAGUCAGCUAGGGCCAACAAUAGGACUCCAAGUCAACAACCAUAAUGCAACUAUCAUAUAAACCAUGUACAAAUCAUACAAGUAAUAGACAAUAUAGGUCCAUGCCACAACUUUCAAGAAACCCGUAUUCUAAAGAAUCCUUAAUAACAACAGUAGUAGCAACAGCAUGCGUCCCGAUUUACACAAGAAACCACCUUAGUAAUUAAGCAUACAAACCUGAUUCACUCAAGAAAAUAAUAAAGCAAGAAACACAUAAUCCCUGGUUUACUCAAUGAACUAUCACACUGACCUGUACCUUAUACACAUAUGCUAAGGGUCUUAUGUGUGCGUACACUAGUCAUGACUUGCAGAGAACGAGUCCUUAUCCAUAUAUCAAUUCCCAAACAUCAAGUGUAUGUCAAUCUUAUAUCACCAAUCCCAUGGAGAUGUCCAACUACCAUUAUAUUGCACAAUAAUAACAGAUAUUACAAUAAUCACAACCACAAUAAUAACAUAACAACACUUGUAAAAUCAGUAGGUUUUCAUUUAGAUUCAUUACAUGCGAUUAACACUUAAGAUCUCAAACAAUCAUUUACUUUUCGUAAACAUGCAUUGCACAAGCAAUACUAAGAAUUAGUUAUCAUGCAUACAUAACACAAAUAGGAUUUUAACUACAUUAAGAUCAACAUCUACCUUAACCCAAGCUUGCACCACUUAAUAAAGCUUGAGGCUUGCCUUUCCAUAUAAUUUCCACUUGGUCGUGGUAUAAAUACAUGAACACAAUAAAUAAUCUACCAAAUGACCUACCAUGUCAAGUAUUACAACCUAAUACCUAACCCCCAAGGCCAAAUUCUUGAUCAAUUGGAAUUGUGUAUUUUUUUAGUUGAUUUUUUUAUCACACUAUGAUUAUUUUACAUCCUUGAAUGUCCACAUUUGAGAACAAUUGGUUGUUGACAAAAUUAUCUACGAUUAGCAUUCCUUAUUUAUGUUCAACAACUUAAGUAUUAUUGAUAUGGGACUUUUCCACAAAUAAGGGGAAUCUUGUAUUCCAAUAGAAGCAGGAGUACUGGUUUAAUGCAAGUAUCGAUCUUUUCUUUGUCCCUCCCUCUAUCGUACCCCUGCUGAGAAUGUGAGAGACAAAACUAUGACUUACAAAAGUGGUAUAUUAGUGCCUUAUAUGAAAAAUCCUUGCUUGGCAUGUUGAUCAUCUAUCAUUACUAGCGACACUUGUAUCGCUUUCCCACAACCCCCUUAUCCUCCCUGUUCUACAGUUAUUCUAUCAUAAUUCACCAUAAACCUUUUAAUAUAAUAGUUACAUUGGUGAAUUAAUAACAUGUAAGAGUAAAUUAAUAAUUAAAAAUUAAAACCUAAAGGUUUUACACGUAAUUUAUUCUCUUGCUCCAAAAAAUCUACUAAUUCAAGAUUAAAUCCUCUACAAAAAUUCAUAAACUAUUGCUUUCAAGGUUAAUAACUAAAAAGCUAGUUAGAGGGGGUGAAAUACUUACCUAUACGAAGAAAAUAGAUUAAAAAUGGAGGAAAAUUAUCCAAAUUGACUAUGCCCUUUCCCAAAUAUGAGUUUAGAAUAAUAACUCAUUUUUGAAAAAAUUUCUAUAUUUAUAGCAAUUUGCCCCACUAUAGUCACCUAAUCCUUAUAUAGCUACAACGAUGUAGCGAAAACUCCCACUAUAUUGGGAUUGAUCGACGUUGUCUUUCAAUAUAGCAAAAAAAAUUACUAUGGAGAGAGUCAUUAUAGCGAGAUUCGUUAUAACGACCUGCCACUCGCUAGAGAGGGAGUGGCGAUGUAGCAACUCGAGAAUCCUCCUUGUUUUGCCUUUUUUACAACACACCCUCAAACAUGACAUAUCAAACUAACCCCUUUAUGUCAAGUUUGAUAUUGGGAGUUCUACUCACUAAAAUUCACUUUCAAAAAGUCAUAUCAAUUCCUUAUCGAGUUAUCUAACAUAAAAUCAAGCUUAGCAUAUUUCAUUUACUCAAUCCCUUUCUGAAUUACACUUUAUCAUACAUCACUCCAUUUUUUAUCGAAACUAGCAUAACUUAAAAAUUCUAACUUUCAUUCUAGGAAAAAUUUUAAUCCGAAUUUGCAUGAUUGACUCACCCAUAACGACAAAAAGGGUUGUUACAAAUAAAAAUAAAAAGAAUUUGAAUUAAUAGAAAUAAAAAGUAAAUCAAAGAAAAAUAGAAAUAAAAAAAAAAAGAAACUUAAAAUUAACCAGCUUGUAAUUACACCAUGUAAUUACCAACAAUUCAUAGCCUCCCCCUAGUUAAUUAGGGAGUGCAAUUCUCUCCGACCAAUUACACCUAAUUACCUACCGACCAAGUAAUUAUAUGGUCGAUCAAAUAUGCCAAACUGUGUAAUGAUAUACAAUUACACCAAAUUUAAUUUUCAGGGUGGCGUUUUAAGCAAUCCCUUAGUUAACUCUAAAAACCAUUUUUAUCAUUCUCCUUAAUUUUUUUUAAUUUGUAGGUUUUUGUAGAUACUUUUAGGGGUAAUGUAGUCAUUUUAAAGAAAGGUUUAUCAUCAAUUUUAUCAAACACAACAAAUUAUUUUAUUAAUUUACUAUAAGAUUGAUUUUUCCUAUCUAAACAUAUAAUAUUUUAACUUUUUUAUAGCACUUACAUAUAUUUUAGUACUUGAUGUUUACAAGCAUGGUUUUAAAUAGUUAAGCUACUAAUUGUAAAAAUGAAGUAGAAGUUUCUAAAGAGGAACAAGAACAUCAAAACCAAAGUUUAGAUCACAUAUGUCUUUAUCAUUCAAUAGUUGUUCAAUAUUGAACUUAUUUAACCGGAACUCAAACUAACUUAUAGUAUGUUUGUAAGCUUAUGUUUUUUGAGAGUGCUUAUUUUUUAAAAAAGUAAUUGAGUUGUUUGACCAAACUUUUGAGAGAACAGAAAUGUAUUUAUGAAGUAGCAAAAACUAUUUUUCAUAAGCUAAAAAGUAACUUCUUCAAUAUGGAUGCCUCAGUGCGGAGGUGUGAGAGGUUGGCUAGGGAUGGUUUCAAGCGAGGUAAAAGUAGACCGAAGAAAGAUUGGAGGGAGGUGAUUAGACAUGACAUGGAGUAGCUUCAGCUUACCGAGGACAUGACCCUGGAUAGGAAGUUGUGGAGGAGGUAAAUUAGAGUAGAAGGUUAGUCUGAGUUAGGAUGUUGUAUGUUUUGGUGUAUACUUGAAGUAUCGUGCUUUGGGUAGUAUUGAAUAUGUUAAUUUCUAUUGUAUCUUGUUUUAUUAUUAUUCCUUAUUUUAUCUUAGAUUGCUUUAUUUUGAGCCGAGGGUCUACCGUAAACAACCUCUCUAUCUCACAUUUGAGGUAGUGGUAUGGACUGCGUACACUUACCCUCCCCAGACCCCACUUGGUAGAAAUAUACUAGGUAUGUAUUGUUUUUGUUGUUGUAAGAAGUAGAUUCUUUCUCAAAAUACUUACAUGAAAAGUACUUUCGAAAAAAUACAUUUAGAAGCUCUUUGAAAAGUUUAGUCAAACAAUAAUUAUUGCGCAAACAUGUUUUUAAAAUUUAUUGACCAAACAUAAAUUGUUUUUCACCAAAAGAUUUUUUUUUUUUUUAGAAAAAAGCACAUUUGAAAUAAGCAUUUUUCAAAAUAACCUUAUUUUAAAUAUUUGGCCAAACAGGCUAUUAAUUAGUUGAUAAAUAAGCAAACAAAAGUUAUUAAUUAGAUAAUUAGGUUGAUUGGUGCUCCAAUAAAAUUAAGAGCAAAUUUGCUCAAUUUGAACUUUAAGAGCAUAUGAUUUGCUAAGAAGAGUACACAAAUACGAACUUCCGUGCAUAUGAGUAAAUGAAAUUGAGAUAAUAGUAUUUAAAAGCAAUCUGAUAUUGUGGAAGAGUUUGUUAUGCCUUAUGUUGUCUGUUUCAGCCAAAGAACUAGGGAUUAAAGAACUGAUACCAGCUUAUUUUGAUCCAAACCUCAAACCAGAAGAUCUAACAACUGGCGUAAGCUGUGCUUCAGGUGGUUGUGGAUAUGACCCUCGAACAUCUACCUCCAAUGUACUGUACUUCUUUUUUUUUCACUGUAUUUUCCUUGUAAUUACAUAAUUAAAUUAAGUAAAAUUUGUUAAUAGAACUUUAUUGAAGGGAAGAAAGGCUAAGGUUUACAAUAUAAUCUGAAAAGCAUAAAACUAACUAAAACAAGAGUAGGCUAUAUAUACAUAGCCAAUAACCUAAAGGUCCAUAAACUAAAGGCCCAAUAACAUAUGGGCUAACAUCCCCCCUCAAACUCACAAUGCAACAGCAAUAAGCAUUGAGAGUUUGUCACACAAAAAACGAAAUCGAGAUGCCGACUGAGCCUUCGUAAAAAGGUCAGCAAUCUGCAAAGACGAUGGAACAAAAGGAAGCGAUAUGGUCCCGAGCUGUAAAUGAUGACGGGUGAAGUGACAAUCAAUCUCAAUGUGCUUCGUACGCUCAUGGAAGACAGAAUUCUUUGCAAUUUGUACCGCACUUUUGUUAUCACAAUGCAGGGGAGUAGGCAUAGAAAUGUGAACCCCCAUAUCUGCAAGAAGCCAACGUAACCAAAUAAUCUCACAUGUAGUCACAGCCAUAGCACGAUACUCAGCCUCCGUGGAAGAUCUAGAGACAACAUCUUGUUUCUUGCUCUUCCACGAGAUUAAAGAGUCUCCAAGAAACACACAAAAACCAGUGGUGGAUUUACGAUCAUUGCGAUCUCCAUCCCAAUCAGCAUCACUAUAGGCUCGCAACUCGAGAGAUGACGUCGAGGGAAACAAGAGAUUCUGAAACUGAGUGCCACGAAGAUACCUUAGAAUACGAAGUACAGCUCCCCAGUGCACAGAAGUAGGAGCAGUAACAAACUGGCUAACAACAUGAACUGCAUGUGCUAUAUCUGGACGAGUAACCGUAAGAUAAACCAAACUACCCACAAUAGUCCGAUAAAGACUCGGAUCUGAUAAUGGAACACCAUCACUAGGAGAGUAACGUGCAUUGGUUUCAAGGGGAGUAUCUACAGUCCUGUUGUCAGAAAGACGCGCCCGUGUAAACAAGUCAGAUAUAUACUUAGUCUGAGAAAGAAGAUACCCUUUCUUAGACUGAGCCACCUCAAUACCCAGAAAAUAACGCAGCAAGCCCAAGUCCUUCAUUGCAAAUCGAUGAGCCAAAUCAUGCUUCAAUAACUCAAUACCACUAUGAUCAUCACCAGUAAUAAUCAUAUCAUCUACAUAUAAGGACAAUAGAAUUCGCCCUGCACUUGUACAUCUAACAAACAAUGCUGAAUCAUGGUUACUCGGGACAAAUCCAAGGGAAGUAAUAACAGUGGAGAAUUUCUCAAACCAAGCACGAGGGGCUUGUUUGAGACCAUAUAAAGCUUUUCGAAGCCGACAAACUUCACCUGGCUGGUGGUCAAUACCUGGGGGAGGAGUCAUAUAAACUUCCGCGUGGAGAUCACCAUUCAGAAAAGCAUUCUUGACAUCCAUCUGAAAUAUCUUCCACUGUCGAACGGAUGCAACAGCAAUCAUAGUGCGAACAGUCGUCAUCUUUGCUACGGGGGAAAAAGUCUCCUCAUAAUCCAUACCAUAUUGUUGUGAAUACCCUUUUGCCACAAGUCUUGCCUUGUAUCGCUCAACAGACCCAUCAGAUUUUGUUUUUAUCUUAUACACCCAUCGACAACCAAUCGCAUGCUUACCAGGUGGGAGAGUAACCAAAUCCCAUGUAUGUGUAUGAUGAAGAGCAGCAAGUUCCUCAGCCAUAGCAUUCUGCCAAAGAGGAUCAGACACAGCCUCUCUAUACGACUCAGGUUCAGACAAAUGAUGUAUGUUUGCAAUAAAGGAAGCAAAUGAGGCUGAAUAUGUAGAAUAGUAAAAAUCUGGCAGUUUGGUGGACUUACAAGGUCGAGUAGACCUCCUCAGAGGUGGUGGGUCUCCAGUCUCAACAGUCGAAGGAGCAGACUCAGGCACAGGCGAGGCUGAAGCACUAUCAGGUGGCACACCAGAUGGCAUGGAUGAAUCCGGAACUGGAACCUCUAUGUCAAUCCCAAAGGGAUCAAUAAGCCGAAUAUCUGACUUUGUCACAUCAUGGGUUUUAGCUGGAAUGGAAUAAAAAGGAAUAUGUUCCAAAAAAGUGACAUGUCGUGAAACAUAUAAUUUCUGACUUACAGGAUCAUAGCAACGAUAUCCUUUUUGUCCAAUACCAUACCCCAAAAACACACAUAUAGCUGAUUUUGACCCUAACUUAUUUCGUUCAACAUGAGGACGAAGAACAAAGCAAGUACAUCCAAAAACUCGUAAUGCAGAAUAAUUCGGCGGGUGACCAUAUAGUUUCUCAAACGGAGACAUCCCUGAAGUCAAUGCAGUAGGAAUACGAUUAAUCACAUAUACAGCAGUUAGAACUGCUUCUCCCCAAAAAAUACUAGGAACCUCUGCAGACAAAAGUAAAGAGCGUGCUGUCUCAACAAUAUGACGAUGUUUUCUUUCUGCCAGACCGUUCUGCUCAGGAGUGUCGGUACAAGAUGACUGGUGUAUGGUACCAUCAGAGGCAAGUAACUGAGUGAAGUCAUUAGAGGUAUAUUCACCCCCUAAGUCACACCUGAAACACUUUAUCACAGCCGAAUGUUGUGUUUUAACAAGGGCUCUAAAGUUGUUGUAAAUGCCAAAGAAAUCAGAUCUGCGUUUCAUAAGAUACACCCAGGUAUAACGAGUAUAGUCAUCUAUAAACGAAACAUAAUAGGUCGAUCCACCCUUAGUGGAUACUGGCGCUGGUCCCCAUACAUCAGAAUGAAUAAUAUCAAAAGGAGCAACAGAAUAAGACACACUUUUAUUAAACGGUAAGGCAGAAAAUUUUGCCAGUUUACAACCACUACAAUCUGAAAUAUCACUAGUGUUCACAUGACCCAAAGCACCACUAGAGACCAAAAAACGUAAACGUGAAACUGACACAUGUCCUAAUCUGGAAUGCCAAAGAUAAAACUGAGAAGACAAAGGACUCAAACGAAAAGAAGAUAAAUCUAUGCUAGAGGCAGCAACUACAGACACUUUGAGAUUCUCCAAGACAUAGAGUUCCCCCAACCUACGGCCGGUCCCAAUCACCCUCUGAGUGUGUUGGUCCUGUAUAACACAAACAGAAUCAGAAAAAAACACCCAAUUACCAGCCUUACACAACUGACUGACCGAAACAAGAUUUAAAGCAAGUUUGGGAAUGUAAUAAACAUCAGAGAGGACAAUGUGAGGGGUAGUAACAGAACCAACACCCUCGACUGACAUAGGUACAGCACUCGCGGACAUAACAGAGAUUGGUGAAAUGGGUGACAAAGAACCAAACGAUGACAAAUGAGGGGACAUGUGAUGAGACGCACCAGAAUCCAAUAUCCACAAGGAGGAAGGAAUACCUGAGGUACUAGAAGAAACUGAACCCGAAUGAGACAUAGAUGCUGACAUGGCCGUAGGAUUAGAAACGAAGAACUGUCUGAACUGUUCGAAAACCUGGGGAUCCAACGCAGAAGGUGGCAUAGUGCUAACAGACUCAACAUCUACAGAUGGUGCAGCAGCAGCGAACUGUGGAGGACGAGAUGACCACGGAGGAGCACCAGAUGGGCGUGACGGAUACUUUUGCUGCCCAUAUUUCUGUUGCUGCCCAGAUUGAGGCUGUUUGACCUUGUUAAGUAACAACGGACACUGAGCCUUCCAAUGAUUUUUCUGUUUGCAGAAUGCACACUCAUCAAAUGCAACUUUAGGAGAUUGUCGAGUCUGAGUACGUGGUGGCCUAGACUGAUCAGUUGAAGCAGCAAACACGACAGGAGUAGUAGUUACUUUAGACCCUUUAUCCACUUGAGACUUGAUACGAGUCUCCUCUGCAAUCAGUUCAUGAACCACAGAAUCAACAGUAGGGAGGGGAGAUCGAUGAAGGAUUGUUCCACGUAGGCCCUCAAAGUCAGAACGUAGUGCCAUCAAAAACUGAACCAAGCGUUGCUCUUCCCGUCUAGCAAUGUACGGCCCAAAACCUUUUAACUCUGCAGAUUCAGUAAGUGCCAAUUGAUCCCACAAAUCCGACAUGGCAGCAUAAAAAUCUUGAAUACUGAGAUCAUGCUGUUGAAGAGCACGGAUAUCAUACUCCAACUGGUACUGCUUAGCAAAAUUAGACUGAGUGUACAGUCUUUCCAAAUGAUCCCAGACCUCCUUUGCUGUGUCAUACUUAGCCAAUUGCAUACCAAUUGACUGAGUUACAGAAUUGUUGAUCCAAGUGAUAAUCUUGGAGUUAUUAGUUUCCCAUAAGUCCACCAACAAAUCAAAAUUUUCAGUUUUAUCAUCGAUAGGUCUUGGUUUUACUCCAGUGAUAUAACCCCACAUAUUCUUCCCACGAAGAAAAUUCUUCAUGACAUAACUCCAAUAUGCAUAGUUCUUACCAUCUAAUUGAGUACUAAUGGACUGGAGAGAAUCAUCCUUUCCAGUCAUUGUAAACACAGCAACACACAAACAAUUCAAAAAACAAAAAGAUGCAAAACCCUAGGUUGAACAAUUCCGAACGAACAACAAUGGCAGCAAGCAAAAGAACGAAAGACGAACAAUACCAGACAGCAAACGAAGACAGCAACGAAUCAAUCCAACCAAAAAACCCAACGAAAAUAGCAAACGAAUACAGCAGCACCUCAAAAAAAAAAUUUGGGGCUCCGCCCCGAACCCCGGACGGGGGCGCGCUGCCCCCCGUACCCCCCAGCGAACUCACCGCGGAGUUCGAUCCGCGCAGUAGGUGCCUGCUACAAAAUCUUCAACCAACAAAUCAAAGGACAUGGAUCGAACUAGCUUUGAUACCAUGUUAAUAGAACUUUAUUGAAGGGAAGAAAGGCUAAGGUUUACAAUAUAAUCUGAAAAGCAUAAAACUAACUAAAACAAGAGUAGGCUAUAUAUACAUAGCCAAUAACCUAAAGGUCCAUAAACUAAAGGCCCAAUAACAUAUGGGCUAACAAAAUUGUCAAUACUUUCUUGGGUGUUGGCAUGCAUAAUCAGCAGCAUAAAAUCCUUCAUGUCAAAAUAAAUGGAACAAAAUAUUAAUCCUUUGUUUUCUACUUACUAAUCAGUAAGCCAUAGCACUAUCGUCACAAUUAAAUUAUUUCCAAGAGUACAUUGGGAAGCUGAAGGUAUUAGUUGGGGAAAAAGCAGCCAACUAUAUAUUAAACAAUAGCUUAUUCAUAGUGGCUACUGGUUCAGUGGAUUUUGCGGGGCUAAACUGGUGCUACUUCUCAGAUAUAAUUCGGUAGAAGAUGCACGAUGUAGACUCAUAUACCGAUCUUCUAGCAGCCCAUGCUUCCAACUUUGUCCAAGUUUUGUUUAUUUUAUUAUGACUUCUCAAUGCAAUGUUGACCCUUAAAUUGCAUGGCUCGAUGUUGAUUUUUUGGUGGAAUAGGCUUUUAAAACUUCGUUCCAAUUGAGUGAGUGAUUAUAUUCGACGAUAAUUUUAGUAGUUCGGUUAAUUAACUAUUUGAAUUUUCACCUAGUUAGUGGGGGUUUUGGGAUGUAGGUAACAAAAGAGUUUUAAAAUGAGGUGUAGGUAACAGAAGUCUUAAUAAUUGAGUGGAUGUGACAAUUACUUUAUUAUGAAUUAAGAAAGUUGGGUAAGUUUGAGAAUAGCCCAGAAGUUUUUAAAUUUAUACUUGGAUCCAAACGUUUACCUAAUAUAAUGAAAAACGGAGGGAAAAAAGUGUCUUUCUCUCUCUUCUCAUCCAUUGUUGUUUUCUCUCUCUUAGCGAUGUUUGUUGUUCAUUGUUGCUACUAUUUUAUUCAUCAUCUUCUGCUUCAUUAUCAUCAUUUUCUACUUCAUUAUCAUCUUCAUCUUCUUCUUGUUGACUAUUGUUGUUGUUGUUGUUGUUACCACUACUGUUGCUAUUUGACCAAUUUUGUACGUCAAAUUUUAUUUCAUACAUCACUUUCCACUUUGGCAUUACUUAAUAGGAGACUUUGGUAAGUCAAAUUAUGAUUUUUAGUUGAAUUUCUCAUCUGGGUAACUGCUAUUAUGCUGUUUUUUCAACAAUAGAUAGCACGCGAACAUGAAUGCAACAUAAGAGUCAUCUGUUUAAAUAGAUAUAUUUCAAUGGAAGACUCAUAUGUUGGAUUCAUGUUUAUGGAUCUAUAGUGCCAUAAAAUGAAUCGAACAAAAGAGUCAUAUGUUGCCACAUAUGACCUAUCUAUUACAACAGAUUAGUUAUCUGGUGCAACAUUAUAAAUAUCUGUUGCAAUAGAUUAGUAACCCAUUGCAACAGAACUUGAACUCGAUUCUAACAGACGUGUUGUCUGUUGCAAUAGGGUAAAUAUAUAUUGCACAGAUUAUUAACCUGUUGCAAUAGAACCUGAACUCAAUUCCAACAGACGGUAAAUAUCUAUUGCAACACAUUAGUAACCUAUUGCGAUAGAACCUGGCCUUAAUUCCAACAGAUCAUAGUCUGUUACAGCAGGUAAGUCAUCUAUCAUAAUAGGUGAAUUAUCUGUUGCAAUAUGUCACUCAUCUAUUUAAAUCUGCUUCAAAGAUGCCUUAUUACUGCAACAUAUAUCCCAACAGGUGCUUUAUUUGUUGCAACAGAUAUAUAGUCUGUUGCAACAUAUGAUUCACCUAUUACAACAGAUGACUGAUCUAGUGAAAUCAGCUUUAGGAGCAUAACAUGAAUCCCAAUAGGUAAGUAAUCUGUUGCGACUGAUUACACAUCUGUUGGGAUUUAUUUAGGGCACGAUGAAAUUACUAUUAGCUUUUUUUUAACAAAUGACUUUAUUUAGGUACCACUAAUAGAGGGAUCAAUAACAAUAGGGGUGGAUUGUCAUGGUCAAUGAAUCAAGAAGAGCAAUUGAUAUGUAUUGCAUUGGAAGAAGGGUGAAAUACUAGAGACGAUAGCUAUGAUACUCCAAACUGAUAUUCUGUAUGAUGAUUUUGUGAACUUAAUCAUCAGUUGUUGUGGACUGGAUUGUCAACUGGAAGAACUCGUCAUCAGUUACAUGCACAACUCCUUUAAAAAUAAGAGGGCACUUCUUUUCAAGAUAACCGAUCAGGUUUAGUUGCAUGCUUAUCUUAGUGAUUCAUCCAGACCGGUGUUAAAGGUGUACGUGGUUGAAAAGACAAUAGAGGAUGAGAACCAGAACGUAAAAGAAGAACAACAAAAAGACAUCUUUGAUGAUAGGUUGGAUAAUCUAGACAUGAAUAUUCCAGAUGAUGACAAACACCUAUGCCCAUUGAUGCGACUAAUACGGUGGCCAGUUCUUCUCGAUCGACACUGUCUGGCAAUCUUCAAGAAGACAGGACCGACUUUUUUAAAGAAAUUUCAUUUAAGGACAAGAAUGAACUAUCUACCACUUUAUUUAUUUCUUGCUUGAAAAAGAUUACAGAAUAAAGAAGAUGAUUAAUUUGAGCAGUGUCUUUAGCUACAAAUAUGCUAAUCUGAACUGCAAGUUGUGGUUGAGAAAGGUGAAGUACAUAAAUUCUGACAUAUUCGUUAUUCAUAAACAUGAAAAGUAUCAUAAACCAACCUUGAUACUGGUUUGAUUUCUUUAAAUAGUUGCUUCAUCUGUACAAAAGGGUAACACAAAAUUAAGUGAAUCAACAGAUGACCAAUAUGAUGCAACAAAUUACCCAUCGGUUCAAUCGAUGAGGCAUCUAUUGCAAUAUAUGGAUGACAUGCUGCAACAGAUGGAUCACCUCUUGAAAUAAAUCAAACUAGCCUUGCUACUGGUUUGCUUUUUUCAAUUACUCCUUCUGGUCCAACAACUGAUUUAUUAGUAGUACCAAUUGAAGAAACUGUUGCAACACCACCACCAACAACAUCAAUAACGAAGAAACAACAACAUAUAUUCCAACACCAUCAAUAACACAAACAUCAUAUGUUCCAAAACGACCACCAGCCCUAACAACAACACCACCAAAGUAACAAACAAAAGACAUAAAAAAACUAUACUGACAAUAAGUCAUUUUAAGUUCUCCCAACAAAUGACUUUUUUCACAUAUUUUAAUAAAAACAAUGGUUCGUUCAUUCAAGACUUAAAAGUCAGCUUUCCUUCAAUUUUUUAAUAAAUAGGAAACUGGUAAUGGGUAAAUCAUUACUAGAAAUAGAUGUAAAUAUCUAAUUUAAUUGACAUACAAAGAAGAAGAUGAGAUGAAAAGAGUAAUAGUGAACCAUACCUACAAUAUCAAAAAGCAAAGGGAUCAAAACAUCCAGUUCAGUUGAGCAACGAUAUUGAUCGAUUGAGAUCCAAAAGGUCUUUAUCCAAAAAAAGAGAGAGAAAAAAAAACAAAAGGAAAGAAAGAGAAUUGAGAAUAAAGAAGAGAGAUAGAUGAGUUGAAUAUUAUGUUACGGCUGUAAGGGAGAGUAUUCUAGAUAUGGAUUUUAAAUAUUCAUUAAUAACUUUUGAGGGGCACGAGGAGACAGUGACAUUGAAAAGACCAGAUAAGACUACUCACUCGAGAUAUUUUUUACUACCUUAGUAUUUUAUCUUUUUUAUCUCAGACAGAAAAUACCUAAAUUUUUUUAAAAAAGGAUCUUAAAACAUCUAUGUGCAAUAGAUGACAAUUUCUUUUGGAAAAUUUUCAAAGCUCGGUCAUCCGUCGCAAUAGAUGGCAUCACCUUUUUGAUAAUUUACAACAGAAGAGAAUAUGUUGCAGUAGAUAACUUAAUCUAUUUGAUAAAAUCCAACAGAAAAGACAUCUGUUGCAACAGAUUGAACAUUUGUUUUUAUGUGAUUUCAAUUGAAUACAUAUGCUCAACUAAUACCUUGAUUGAAUAAUCAAGUUAUAGAGGUGAGUUCUCAUAGGUUCAACUACAACUUUAAUUGAGUCUUUUAGCAAUUCAUGAUGAGAUGAUAUUGUGUUCCUCCCGACCAGAGUCAUCGAUCGAUCACUCUGAGCUAAACUAAUUCUUAUUACCUCAUAUGUUCAACUAAUAUCUUAAUUGAUUAAUCUAGGACUAGGGGUGAGUUUUCAUAGGGUCAACUACAACAUAUGGUAGAGCCUAUUUGAUAGUGUACAACAGAUGGGUAAUAUAUUACGACAUAUGACUUAAUCCAUUUGAUAAUUUACAACAGAUGGUAAUUUGUCGCAAUAGAUGACUUAAUCUGUUUGAUAAUUUAUAAAAGAUGUGUAAUCUGUUGUAAUAAAUGACUUAAUCUAUUUGAUAAUUUACAACAAAUGGUUAAUCUGUUGAAAAAGGUUGAACAUUUGUUUUUAUACAAUUUUAAUUGAUUUCAUAUAUUCAACUAAUACCUUAAUUGAUUAAUCUAGGACUAGGGGUGAGUUCUUAUAGGAUCAACUACAACUUCAAUUAAGUCAUUUGGCAAUUACAUGAUAAGAUGGUAUUGUGUUCCUCCCGACUAGAGUCAUCGAUCGAUUACUCUUAGCUAAACAAUUUCUUAUAACAUCAUAUGUUCAACUAAUACCUUAAUUGAUUAAUCAAGUACUAGGGGUCAAUUCUUAUAGGGUAAACUACAACUUCAAUUGAGUUUUUGGAAAUUCACAAUAAGACAGUAUUGCGUUCCUCCUGACCAAAGUCAUCGAUCGAUCACUUUGAGCUGAACCAAUUAUUAUUACCUUAUAUAUUAUUUUAAUAUCAUAACUUAUUAAUCUAGGACUAGGGGUAAGUUCUAAUAGGGUCAACUACUACUUCAAUUGAGUGUUUUGGUAGUUCCAUGAUGAGAAGGUAUUGCGUUCCUCCUCACUAGAAUCUUGAUCGAUCACUCUAAGCUGAAUCGAUUCUUAUUACCUCAUAUAUUAAACUAAUACCUUAAUUGAUUAAUCUAGGACUAGGGGUGACUUCUCAUAGGAUUAACAACAACUUUAAUUGAGUCUUUUGGCAAUUACAUAAUAAGAUGAUAUUAUGUUCCUCUCGACCAGAGUCAUCGAUCGAUCACUCUGAGCUAAACUAAUUUUUAUUACCUCAUAUGUAAGACUAAUACCUUAAUUGAUUAAUCUAGGACUAGGGGGGAUUUCUUUAAUUGAGUCAUUUGAAAAUUGUAUGAUGAGAUGAUGUUGUGUUCCUCCCGACCAGAGUUGUCGAUCGAUCACUCUGAGCUGCACCAAUUCUUAUUACCUCAUACGUUAGACUAAUACCUUAAUUUAUUAAUCUAGGACUAGGGGUGAGUUCUCAUAGGGUCAACUACAACAGAUGGCAGCGGCUAUUUAUAAUUUAUAAUAGAUGGGCAAUCUAUUGCAACAUAUUACUUAAUCCAUUUGACAAUUUACAACAGUUGGGUACUUUGUCAAAAUAGAUGACUUAAUUUGUUUGAUAAUUUACAAUAGAUGCAUAAUGUAUUGGCACAAAUAACUUAAUCUGUUUGAUAAUUUAUAACAGAUGGUUAAUCUAUUGCAACAGGUUGAACAUUUAUUUUUAUACAAUUUCAAUUGAUUUCAUAUGUUAGACUAAUACCUUAAUUUAUUAAUCUAGAAAUAGGGAUGAGUUCUCAUAGGGUUAAUUAAAACUUUAAUUGAGUCCUUUGGAAAUUGCAUGAUGAGAUGGUAUUGCAUUCCUCCUGACCAGAGUCUUUGAUCGAUCAUUCUAAACUAAACUAAUUAUUAUUACCUCAUAUGUUCAACUAAAACCUUAAUUGAUUAAUCUAGGACUAGGGGUGAGUUCUCAUAGGGUCAACUACAACAGAUGUCAGCGCCUAUUUGAUAAUUUACAACAGAUGGGUAAUCCGUUGUAACAGAUGACUUAAUCUAUUAGAUAAUUUAUAAUAAAUAGGUAAUAUGUCUGUAAGACUUCACAAAAUCCUAAGCUCAACUCAGUCUUUUAAGCUUGCUAAGGGGUUCCAAACUUAAAAUUCUAGCUAAGUAUUUAAACUUGAUAUUAUUUUGGCCUUCGUAAGUUGGAAACUCUAUUUCACAACUCUUACAACCUUAAUGUAUCAAUCCUUAGGUGAAAUCAUGAUCAGGAAUGUCAGUAGGUGUUUCCAGACAAGUUUUUGAUUUUUCAGACCUCAUUUUGAACAUGUUCGAGUGACCAAAAUAGUGAGUCGAUGCGAUCUCAAUGCAUCACGCCAUCCCUCGUGUCGAUAAAUAAUUUUUUCCUUAGCUCAGUGCAAAUUCCAGUGAAUCAAUGCGGACUCGAUGCAACACGUUAGCCAUUGUGUCGAUGCCAACUAUGUGGUACAACGGUCUGUGCAUCGACAAUUCAGUUUUCAGUCAUUAAAAGUUGCAUCCUUAGGGGUAUUAAGGUUUUUGUCCCACACGUAUCAACCCCGAAAUAUGAGAUUAAUCCCCUUUAGAGGCUAAAUCCUUUCACUAUUCUCAAACUUCUAAAGAACAAAAACCCUAGGUGAUCUUAGUUCAAAAGCCAAAGCUCAAUAUUUCACCAUUGUUCUUAAAGAAUUUAGCAACCAAGGUAUGUGAAGUGUUCAUCCAAGGGUUCCUUCCACCGUUGGAGUCCAAGAAACUCUUUUAAACUUCAAGUAUCUUGAUUUUAUGCUUUCCAUGAUUUGAAAUAAAGUGUAUUCAUGAUUAUUGCUAUAGUUGGGUUUCUAUUUCAUGAUUUAUUACAAGAUUGAUGCAGAAUUAUUUGAUAUGUGUGAAUUCAUGUUGAAACCCAUGGAAUUAUAAUUUGGAAAUUGAAUCAUGAUGCCCACAUGUUGUUUAGUAUUAUGUGCAUAUACUAUGCCAUCCAAGUGUUUGAUGAAUUGCUCAUGUGAAUGUAAUAAUAAGAUUAUAUCCUAGUAGUAUGUAUACUAUUUUAUGCCAUUCAAGUGUUUGAUAAAAUGACUCUAUAGAUGCAUUAUGAAUAAUUAUGCACUUUUAUGCUAUGGAAGAUCAUGCGAAGCUUUAUUUUCUAUGCUAUCGAGUCCUGGGGGUAUUUAUACCCAAUAAUUUAGCUGUUUACCUAGAGUCAGUGUCAGUUAUCGAAUAAUCUCAGCCAUGCCAUGAUUAGCAGUACUCUCAAUUAGUUACAGGGCUCAGAAGAACUCAGCAGACUCAGUAUUAGUCCUGUCUAUUUCAGUAUUCAUUUUAGGCCUCAGUAAACUCAGUCAGCUAAGAAAAUUUAGUAGUAUUCCAUCAGUCAACGGAAGUUAGUAAAAUUAGUAAUAGUUUACUGAAGUGUAGUAUGAACUAGGAAAUUAGUUCAGUGUCUAUUCAUUUGGGAGUAGGAUUUAGCACCGAGCAAAUCUAGGAAUGGGGACAUUCCUUCCAGUAGAGGGUUUGACCCUUAGUAGCAAUCCAUGUAUUACAAAACUACCUAGCCAGUGUAGGUUGAGAUAUCUCCUUGACAAAUUAGGGUUCAUACAUCUCACACAAGUUUUACUGACAGCGAGGGUUGACGAAAGCGCUUCCUAUUAGAGAGGGUUAACUCACAGCUUAUCUUUACCCAUGGUACUGUAAUACCUCGAGACUCUAACCAAUAGUGCAACCAUGACUCAAGCUCAUGAGAAGUAAAUUAUAGUGCUUUGGUUUUUUCUGAUCAAGGGUGAUGUAUAUUAAGGCCUCAAAGAUGUCCUAGCCAUUAGGUGAAUCAAAACAUUCCUUACCGAUUGAAUUCUUGGGAAGGAUAUUGCCAUAUUCAACUUCAAAUGAAUAUAUCUCUCAUUAUACUUUGAAUUAUUGAGAUCAUAACCUACUAAAAUAUAGAUAAUUGAAUUAUCUUUCCAACGAUAUAAAUUUCACCCAAAUCUAGUAUCGAAGCAAAGAGUUAUGCCCAUUUUACUCCAGCAAGUCAGGCUGGAAAACUGAGUGACGAUAUUUUGUGAUAAACUGUCACAAGUGUGACAACAUGUCACCAAUGUCGUUAGCCUUAGGCAGAUUUUCACCCCCAGUGAUGAUAUUUUGUGAUAAGUUGUCACAAGUGUGAUGACUUCUCACCAAUGUCGUCAACCUUAAGCAGAAAAUCAUAAAAUCCACCCUUUUGUGAUGACAUUUCGUGAUGACUUGUCACGAAUGUCGUUAGCUAUUUUUUUCAGCAAUUAAAGGACAUUUUUGCAAGGGUAUUUUGGCUUUUUCUCAUCUUUUGGAGGCCCCUAUAUAUCUUAUAAUCCCCAUCUAAAUCCUAAUUUCUUCAUUCUCUCUUCCAAUUCCCUUAGAAAUAUAUCUAGGGUUUCUAUUUAAGGACAUUAAUCUUCUAAAAAUCAUCCAUAAAUCUUCAAGAUUUCUUCAAGAAUCAAGUUCCUUAUAGUGUGGGCUUCGAGAAUCAUUUAUUACAAGUGCGGAUAGAGUCUCAAGCACUAGAAUUCAUCCAAUUUUAGAGAUUAAGAUAUGUGGGGUUUUGAACAAGAGCAAUUCUUUCAUUCUUGUGUCCAAAGCUUUGAUUUCUAUCAUGGAUUUAUACCCAAAUUACUUCAUCAUGAGAUUAUGAGAACACCAAAUGGAAUCCAAAAUUGAACCUAUUACGAGGUCCCUCAAAAGAUAAGGAAUAUGUGCUCAAAAGUUGAGCACAAAUGGAACACCAAUUGGAUCCAAAUCAACCCUUAAAGCUUAGGAAUUCAAAGUCCUAAUUUCUAAGAAUUUAUCAACAAUUGAAGGAGUCUUACCAUGAAAUCAAAGGGAAAUCACGAAAUAAUGGAUAACCAAGCUCCCCAAAUCAUCUACAAGCUUUAAUACCACUUUAUCUCAUAAUUUAGGAUUUUAUCUCUCAAAAGAAUGGAUGAAGAAUGAGUAAAAUUGGGAAAAGAGGUCUUUUUAUACCCAGACCAGGCAUUCAGGUUUUGCUAUCGCGACCCACAGAUCACGAUAGCAACAUAUCGGCUUGCACACGGGAACAGUGAUCGCAACCUCAGCCUCGCAAUUAUAGAAUUAGCCUACCAAGGGUAUCUCUUUCAUGACACCUUUGCUUGCGUUCGCGAUGACACUAGAUUUUUUGAUUCACUAGAUUUUCUAAGUUCAGAAUAGACUUCGAUCAGGGGUUCAGGAUUUGUUAGGAACCCCAUACGCACAAACAAACUAUGCAACCAUACAAAAAUCAACAUUCUAGACUCAAUGAAACCAUCAAAACUUUCAUCUAAGGUUGUUUGGAAUAAAUGUGGGGCCCAUACCUAUAGUUUUAUUUUUCACAUAAUCCGCCCAAUAGCCUAAAAUGAGUCUGGAGGCCUCGGUACCUGAACCAAAGGUUAUCCUAGCCUAAAAUCAAUAUUCCAGAGCUGAUGGGGCUGUUGGAAUUCUCAUCCAUGGUCAUCUUCUAGGAGUUUUUGUUUGAGAUCAAAUCCUAAAUAAUGAAACCUCCAAAAUAGGGAAAUUAGCCUAAAAUCCAAAUUAACUGUCUGAACAUCGAACCGAGAGGUUUGGCAAGUCAUAAAUGACUUGUAGCCAUAAUGGGGAGGCUCAACAUAACCGAAAUCCAUGCAAAUCAAGGAAAUGACCUGGAGGGUCAUUAUAUUAUUCACUACUAAUAGGACUUUCGUCCGCGAAAAUUAAUGGAUAGAAAGAUCUCAAAAGCCCAAAAGGAUAAGGUACUGUGCAUGCUCUGAGCAUGACUACCCAGAUAACCUCUACAAAGAGAGAAAAUUUCUAAGAGAUUUUUCCAUAGGUAUUCCUUUUUAAACCAGCUCUCUUACUUUACUUCCAAAUAGCCAAAACUCAAUAUCAACCAGUAACUGGCCUUCAACUAUUGCAAAAAAGGCUUAUGCAUGCAAAUCCAAACCACAACAUACUGAUACCACACUGAUAUUAGCACAAUCCAACAAAGGCUCAUUGCAACCAAAGGGAAACCAAGUCAUGAGUCAUACAACCGACCCUAAAUCUAAAUAUAACCUUUCCUUACCAUUCCACACCUUCUAUCCACUACAAACUAGGAGAAAAAUUACUUGAGUCUUAUCCAAGCAAUCCAAUGACAAAAAAACUCAACAAACUGAGGUUAGACUACUGAAAGUCCAUAUGACAAACAUAAGAAUAAGCUGAUAAAGCACUAUCUAGACAUACAAAUGGAGGUAAUCAAGGGAUGCAAUCUAUGCCAAUACUAUAACUAGUUCGGAUAAUAAUCAAAACUGGAAUCAAAAAGUUCAAGGCAUAACUACUCAUCACUAAACAAUCCUCUCCAAGAUGUCCCAUCAAUAGUAAAUAAACCUAUCCUGAACCCAACUCAAUUAUACUACUCCCACUAGGUAUAUCAUUCUGAAUUCUUAAAGAAAACUGAAGCCCGGAUGUUAAAGAUAAAGGAACCAAUGUCGUGUCCAUAGACUAUUAUCUGAUCACCUAUCACCACAAUCCAUCCAAACUCAAGAAGACCAAAAAGGUAACCACGAAGUGGGCUCAACCAACCUACUAAACUCAAGCUUUGCAACUCCAAGCUGAAAUCUUAACACCAAGGAUGAAUCACUCAAUCUCAACUACCCAAACCAAACCUGAAGACGGGUAGGCACUCACAGUCCAACUCUAUCAUAAUUUCCAAAUCACCACUCCAAGGUGUCAAAUCCAAAUUGAGCCAACAAAUCCAAACUAAAGUCAAAUACUCACAUCAACCACAUCAUCUGAAAUCAGACACAUUUGUACUAAAUUAUGUCGAGCCAAAAUUGAAAAAUAGCUAGAGAAUAAAACCAUAAGAAAAAUCACCGACUGAAAUCACAAGGAAUCAACUUCAUAUCCACUAGAGGCAUAAACUAUCAAAACAUUCUCAAGAACUCCCAAGGCUACAAACCACACUAGUAAGGGAAAAAACUCUAGCAACUCAUAGAAAUGCAACUUUAGCCAAAAACUAAUCAUUUUGGCACACCAUCUCGGCCAAGAAUAACCAUAGGCACAUAUCACAAAGAUGAAGCACUUUACCAAGCCUCAUUAGGAUGAAUAAACUCUGAAACAAGGAUUUCCUAAUCCACCCAAGUAGGACAAUCAUAACUUAAACAAGCCAAGAAUCAUCUCACUGAGGAAUAAAAUACCAAUAUCGACAUCAAUGUCAAGGUCAAGACCGCUAUCGAGAAAAGAAUCUAGUAAUGCAAGAUAAAGAAUUUCCAAUUUAUCCACUCACGAAGCGAUCAUAGAAAAGACCACCUACCUCAACACUCUAACUAUCUAACUCUACUUUAGACAAAAACCCUAUCACAAUAAGAAAAGAGCAUCUAACUUCCACACUAAUACCAAGAGCAAAUCAUCUUUAGGAAAUGAUUCCAACAAAUUUAAGAGAUAAAUUCAGAUAUCUUAAUAUCAAUAUCAAAACCACUAUCGAGCAAUGAAAUAGCCACAAGCAAAGAACGGGUCCAAAACUUAUUAGUCUCAAAUAUGGGAUACAUAGAGAAGGAUAUCUAAUGCAAAAACCUUCGUAGCCCAGGAGACAAGUCUAAGAAUCCCAAAUACAAGAAUGGUUAAUAUAACUAAAUUGCCUACUCUAGAAUCAUAAUAGAACCAUAGAAGGUCAAUAUACCUUCAACACCAUACCCAUUCCCGAUAAAUCUAGCAUAGCUAACUAAGAGAAAGAUGACCAACCUCACCUCAAUAUAGAAAAUAAAUCACCAAAUUGGGCUAUAGCUGCGCGACCCAAUGAAUAAGAACAACACAGAAGGGGAAUUUCUAACUAGAUGCUAUAAGUCUAGCCAUUUACUAAGAGAUGAUUAAUUACAUAAAAUAAUAACAGCAAUAAUAGCAAUAAUAUAAACACCAAUAUAAUGAAUAUGUAGUACCAAAAUAAACAUCAAUAGAAAAUACCACUAAAGGGCUAUAAUAAGCUAAUAGGCCAAGGUAAAUGGGACUCAAACCCAAAUGCUACACCCAUAGAGAGAAAAUAUCCAUACAAAUCUACUCCAUCAACUACUAAAAGAAAUAAAUAAUAGGGGUAGUCAUAUAAUUGUGAAUUCAAUAACAAGGCACACAUCAACCAAUAUUAACUCAUUAAGUCAUAUUAUCAUCACUAGGUACAAAGCCCCAAUACAUAUUAAUGAAAAAGGUAAAUAUGGGAAUUAGAAACACACCUAUCAUAGUGAAAUCUAUAAUUAUAUGCCUAAUGGGUCUAAGGGAGAAUAAAUCUGAACAUGUCCAAACUUAAGCUGACCGAUAAAAUCAUCAACUGCGGCUCUAAGCAUGCUAUCUCUAGCCAAAGGUGCCACAAUCACUAUGAGGAUAAUCUGAAUAAGCUGAAUGACUAGCAAUCCCACACCAAAGAAAAUCUCUAGAUCAGUGACCAAUUUCUCUGCAGUUAUAGCAAACUCCAAAAAACCCAACCAACCUAGAAACACGACUUAAGCCCAAAUGGCUGGCAAACUAAUUCUUAGAGCACUAUCUACUAUAAUGAUCAUCCUUCCUACAGUCAUAGCCUACCUUAAUAACUUUAGAAUGGAAAGAAAUAUAUGUAAUUCUGUCUAAACAACCAACUCACAUCUUAGGCACUUUAUGGAUCAAUAUCCCAUCUUACCAUAACUAAAACAAGCUCCUAGAAUACUUUGAGGUGCUUCACACCUUGAUCUAGAAUGAUCACCAUGAAUAACCUGAGGGUCACCGAUAAUCUGAAUCACUACUUGCGUAGAACUGAUAGGUUAUAAGUGAAACUUACCUCUAUUAGAUGGAUCCUCAAUCCUGGAUGAAAUAUAAAUAAUACUAUACUUAUGGCAUAGCCUCUUUCUGCCACCUCCAUAUGUAUCAAUACAUGCUCUCUCUAUGGCCCUCAAAUGAUAAACAACUUAAGAGAAGGAAGACCCAGCUGCUAUCAAGUGCUCCAACAUCAAGUGGAGUGACAAUGUUAUACCUCUAAUAAUUUCAUACACCAUGUCUAUCUCAUAAGGAUAUAGUAUCAAAAUAUGCAUGGACCACUCUUGAAACCUAAUAUCGUACUAAAAAACUGAUAAAGAACCCUGAUCAAUACCAAUAGACCUACUCUGGCCUGAGAACUUACUCGAUAAACUGAAUAUCAUUCUUAGUUAAGAGGUAUACACAAAGAGACUUGGGAUCCUUAAUGCUAAACUUUAAAAGGCUAAAGUAGUCACGAGUCGUACUAGAGAAUGAGUUGGCCCUAAAUCCUUUGACUAAUGGAGAAGAACUUCAAUAUCCAUAUCUGACUCUCUAGUCUGAUGCUAUGAUAAAGCUCUAAAAACAUGUGUUAAAGUCUUGUCCACAUUCAUCGACAACCUCAUAUUAUCUUUUAGGGACAAAAUAAGAUUAGAGAAUGUGCUUGAGGCUCAUAGAAAUGUGUACAUACAAUAAGGAGUCAAGAAAUAAAUUUCCUAAGAAUGUCCCUAUAGCCUCGAGAAGAUAGGUUACAAACGUGUUUGCACCAAUCCAUAAGACCUGAAUAAACACUUAGCUUUUGUACUAAUGCAUUGGUAUACCUAGGCUUUAAUACAAAUUUGUCACAACCUAAUUUCUCGGGUCAUGAUAGCUCCUACUAUAACCCACCAAUAGGAAGCCACACCCAUAGUCCAGAACUACUAGUAACGAACGACCCAAAGAAUGAGAGGAAGAAUAUAGAAUAGAUGAAAUAAAACACGAACAUACAAAAGAUUAUCCCAAAACCUGGUGAAAUCGGUACAAGAGCUUCUAGCAUAAUAAAGAUACAAAUAAGGGACUAAAUGAAUAUACAGAUACAACCAUCUCUAAAUACAACAUAGAGACGAGUCUAGUAGAUAAAAAGGAGGAAAGUAAUACCUUGAAUGUUAGGAGCUCACUCUACGUCUUUGAACAAUAGCUGCUCUACAUGAUAUAUAUAAUAAUGGCAAUAACCUGUACUAUGAUCAGUAGGAUAUUGAAGUGUAGUACGAGUACCAAACACAUGGUACUCAAUAGGUAACUACCGACUAAACUCCAAUAAAAAUACAUAUACAUAUAACAUAUACAUAGAAUGGAAACUACACCUAAAUGUCCAAUAACCACAUAAGAAAGCCAAUGAGAUAAUAAGGAUAAACUACCCUAUUCAUGUCGAAGAAACUUAUAUAACAAGGCUAAGGAAGUACUAAGGCUAAAAUAUCCUAUUUGAACUAUACUCAGGAAUCUCAACGCUAUACCAUAUAUCAUUGUCCAGUAUGCAAAACAAGGGUGAAAUAAAGAUAUAAAUGAGUAUAAAAGGCUAUGAAAUGAAUAUAUGAUCUAAAUAAAUGAAAGGAAGGGUUAUACAGUAACACCAUAAUUACGUAUUUAUAUAUAUAUAUAUAUAUAUAUAUGAACAAAGCCAACUUGAGGUACAUUCUAAAUCAUCAGUCUAGCAUUUUUGUAACCUCAGAAUCACAGUAGGAACCAGUGCUAGUAUACUUGAGGUUUCUUAAUUCAUACAUCUAAUCUGGAGUUAAUUAUGCAUAAUAAUGAAAUCAUAAGAUAGAAGAGCCAUAAUUAUACCUCAAAUCCCGAUACUAAAUCAUUAAUCAAUAUAUCACAAACUAUCUUUAACAAUGAUCAUAACCAUAAUAAUACAAUUACAAUGACAACAUGAGUAACUGGCUAGUCAAGACAACAAUACCUAACCAAGCCUAUCACGAACCCACACUACCACAAGCUCAGAAGGUUCAAUAAACAUACAAUACACCUAUCACGACCCGAUACUACCCCUAUCCAUAACAUGGUGCUUGGAAUAACAAGUGAUCCCAAGAUAAUCCAUGCACUAGCAUACUACUUGAGCAAUUGAUUUAAAUUAUAUAAAAACUAAAUUUACUGAGCAGAAAUAUGAUUAUGCGAGAGUAUGAAUAAAUGUAAUACUAAAUAAGUUUACAUUAUGAUAGAAUAAAAGAAAGAAACUUGAAAUUACCAAUAAUGACUAUAACUAUCUAUGAAGCCUCUACUAUACUGACUAUAGAUAGAUGAGACAUACCUCCAACUAACACUAGUCAAUACAUAUAGAUAAUCAGAAUACAACAUAUAAACUGCAAUGGACUAGAGUUCCCAUAAUAAUGGAAUUCAUCACCUACUAGCUGAAUAUUGAGAAUUGUCUGAUCCUGAUGUGUGGACUACAUUUGGUACCUAAAUUAUGAAGAUGUAGCCACAAAUGCAUAUAUAUAGUCAGUAUAUUAGAAUAUACUGAGUAUAUGGAGACAUGCACUAAAUUAUGGAAAUAUUUAAAACAUGCUUUUAAACUGAGGAUAUAAGUUAUUUUCUAAAACAUACAUUUAAAAUAUGACUAUACGUGAAAACUGGAAGUCAUAGUGAGAUUUAUAAAUCAUGAAGUGAAAAUAAUUUUGUAAAUUGGGAAGCUGUAAAAAAUGAAUAUUGUCUGUAAAUCUCAUGUAAAGAUGAACAAGUUGUAAAACUAAACAGAAGAUCAUGUAUGGAUACUUAGCAUAAAAAUAUGAACAAGUAAAAUUGAGAAUGCACAACCAAGCAUAAACAUAUACUAACAUAAUCUGAAUAACUGAAUGACUGAUAUCUAAAUUACUGAAUAAAUGAUGUCUGAAUAACUGAUAUUUGUAUACAUGGCCAUGCAAACCUAAACUGACAUACUCUGAAUACUGAACUGAGACUGUGGGAGCUGAUUACAACUGGCAUACCCCCAAUAUAAGCUAUUGGGGUCCAACCUAUAACCCAAUUAGAAGAGUGUUAGUACCUUGCUAUGGGUACCAACAUAUGACUGACGAUGUGGAUCUAUAAGAUUGAUGUCCCGAAGGACGGGGGUGUCAUUCCUAACUGAUGGGGGACUCCUCAUAAUCUACAUUGGUGCAUAGGUCUAUAACUUAGGGACUGCUACUAAUGACUCAUGCCUAACUGACAGGGGAGCCGCUAUCCCUAUGUUCACUCAGUGCUAAGUAUUACCCCCAACUGAAUGAUACUUGUAUUAUUAUUCAUUUAUUAUGAUAUGGUAUUAUACUGAUAAGUGCUCAGCAUGAACAUGGAAAUUUGAACAUAGUAAUAAAAUUAUGGUCUGACUGACUUGUUUCUUGGGAAUUGUAUCAUGUAAAACACAUAGGUAUCAGGUGUUCAUAACCCAUGAUCAUAAAAAUACAAUAACAAUAUUUAAAAUAAUGGUACAAAAUCAUAGUUCAAAGAUCCAAAACAUAAGAUAGUUCAAUAAUUGAGUGAAAUACAUGAACUAGAACAUAGGGAUGAGUUAAACUUGAGAAAACAACUUAUUCACAUGGUUUAACUUAUAACUUAAAGGUUCGACAUGGAAUCACUUGAAUAGAACAUGAGUAAUUGAAAUUUAAAAAAUGAAAUAAACUAGUUUAUAUGGGAACGCAUGUUGACAUGGCUUGAAUUUAAAUUACUAAGAAAUACGUAGAUUAAGUUCAUAAGUUUCAUGGAUAAUUUCAUAAAAUAGGAUAUUCAUACUUUGAAUAAAAAAGAGGGUUUUGGGGAUCAAUGGGUGAAAGAAACCCAUUGAUGAAUACCCUACAUACCUCAAUUAGAUGACUUCUUGAAUGAAGCCUGAAAUUGGAACUUGAAUUCUUGAGGGAAGAAAGUUAAACUUUGUUCUUUGAAAGAGGAGAAGGGUUUACGUGAGUUAAUCUCAUGAAAAGUGGGAAAAUAAUGCCCUUUUAGGGCUUUAAUUUGUCACUUGGGUGCUUAGGGCCAAGGGAAAAUAACUAAAAUGCCCCUUGGGCUGUUACUUAUGGAUACAGGAAAUAUAUGCUCCACGUCGCGGAGGAUAACGCAGGUCCUGAGGUCCGCAUCGUGGAGCUAUUUUAGACCCUUACUAUUUCUUAAAAUAUAGUCAUAACUUUUCGCUUAGGUAUUGGAUUAAGGCAAAAUUGGUAUCAUUGAAAAGCUAAUUAAAUUAUCUAUAAUUUGGUAGGUCUUCAGCUGCAAAAUUUCAAAUUUGUCAAAAGUUAUACAUGCUCAAAAUUGUUUCUUGUAGAAUCGAAUAUCAAAAUUUGACCAAAUCAAAGGCUUUUAGCUCAACUUUGCUCUAAGUGAGUCCUAUGAAUAUUUUUUUGCCUCAUAAGUACUCUUCACACUAGGAUAAUGAUCAUAAAAUAUAUAUUCAAAUAUAAAUCAUGGGAUUUGAGUUUUUACACAUAGAAACGACGGUUCAAAGUCUAGUCUAGAAAUGUAGGGUAUUACAAUACCGUAAGUUAUACUCAUCACCCAUACCUAUGCAACCCUCAUAAGGCCGAUAGAUAUAGUUGUAUACUGGUGAUAAGGGAUGCAUAUGCAAGAAUAAAUGACAAAUAUAAUCCAUAAUACUAACCAUUAUAUCAUCAUCAAUAUCAUAAUCAUCCUCCAGACUCAAACCAGUAGAUAUAUAAUUAAACUCAUAACCAUCCUCCAAACUCAAACUGGUAAACAUAUAAUCAAUAUCUGGACUUGGAUCGGUAAAUAUAUAAUUGAUAUCCAAACUCAAUCGGUAAACUUAUAUUCAAUAUCAUCAACGUCAUCAAUCAUUGAGAUUUACCCAAAAUUCAUAUCAUCAUACCAUUAUCCUCCUCCGUUCCAUACCCGAGAGAUGUAUAUCUAGAAAUAUAAUAGGUACACAAACUUAAGUCGUGGCUAAAAGAGAGUAAAUCUAUAAAUCCAUUGCUCUGGGUAAAAAUCGAGAAUAAAUCAUUAUAAAAUCAUAGAAAAGGUCAAAAUCUCCCAAGACCAAAGUAAAUAAUUGUAAUGAAAUAAUAGAUCAAAAUCUAUAUAGGGCAAAUCUUUAAAACACCAUUUCUCAAUCUCUAUGCAUAUAAGUCAUCCAUUUAGAUGGCACCAUUCCCAUUAUGAAGAUAUCCAUUUUUAAAAUAAAAAGUGGGACUUAAUCCUCUUUUUAGUAAAGAGAUUUAUAAAAUUAUAUUUUAGUUGGAAUCGUACCAUUUACCACACUUAGUAAUAACGAAUGUAGUGAAUCUCUAUAGGCCAUUUCUAGUAUUCAAACAAUGAAAUCAUAAGUCUCAAAAUGAUGAUAAACUAAGACCCUUUUCUAUACAAGGAUGGAAUACUUCAUAGAAUAUAACCAAUCAACAUCAUGAACAUGUCCUUGGGCCCAACAAUAAAUUCAGAAAUAGCUACAAUAUCAUGAUUAUGGACUUAGGCCCAACUGUAUAUCCGACAUAAUCAUAACAUCAUAACUUGGAGAAAACCAUCACAAUCCACCAAGUAAUAUACAAAGCAUUUCUAAAGAUUCAUUAGUCUCGACUCUAACUAAUCUAUUAACAAUAUAGGAUGAUAGAAUACUAAAAGCAUAGUAAGUAUUUCACCUUAUGAGGCAAAUCACCUAUCUAAUCCUCAAACUUCAAUAAUGAAGAAUAAGUCAUGAUGUUCUACCCAUAAUUAAUCUUAACAUUCUUAUAUACAUACAGUAUAUAAAACACAUUAACUUGUGAAGUAGAGGAUAUAGAGCCUAAUUUGAAGCUGAAACGCAAAUCCUUGAAUUGUCCACAAAACAUCUAGCUUUACUCCACGAUCUCAAAAUAUUGCUAUGCUAUAAAAAUCAUAAUCUCUGCAUUGUUAAGAGAGAAAAAAAACCUAUAUUGCCAUAUAAUAAGUUGGGUCAACUUUUAGGUCAAAAAUGAGCUUACGCAAUCCACUAACGGAAUGCAAAAUUAAAACCAUCACGAGGUCCCUCAAAAGAUACGGAGUGUGUGUUUAAAAUUUAAGCACAAAAAAACACUAAUUGUAAUACCCCGAGAAAUUUUUUAUUGAAAUUUUGUGCGUAAACGUGUUGGGUUCUAUCUUUUAGAAUAAAUUAUAAAUUUUCUGUGUGGAAUGUCUUAGAUUAUGACCCACCAUUGCAUAGAGUAUUGAAUAAGAUUUCCAAUUAUAUGUGUAUCAUCCAAAACGAACACCCGAGCGAUGAGUUAUGAACAUUCCCAUCAGACCAUGAAUAGUAGUGAACAGUAAAACGUGCAGGAAAAAGUACUGAAGCCUGGCGUAUUUUUACUCCAAUUUCAAAUAAUCAUAGCUCCUUGUACAUAAUGAUCUGGGUGAUCUACUAUAUAUCAACGACAAGCUCUGCGAGUCCUCUUUCUAAUGAAAUUAGUUUCAUCCAAUUUGUCUAUUGGAGCAAAAAGUUAUGGGUGAUUUACUUCAGCCUAUCAAAAGUAAAUUUUGGGUCAACUUCAAAUGAUCAUAACUCCUCGUACACAAUGAUCUGGGUGAGAUACUAUAAUCAAUAGAAAUAUAUGAGAGUCCUCUUUCUAAUUAAAUUAGUUUAAUCCAAUUUGGAUAUUGGAGUAAAACGUUAUGGUUGAUCUACUUCAAACUAUCAAAACAGUCCAUCAAAGGACAGAUUCGAGAAUUAUUUGACUUUUAGGGGAGUUUUGGUCAUUCCCCCUCACCCAAAAUCCGUCCAAACCCUAUAUUAAAUUCUAUUAGAAGUAUUAUUUGUUAUAUUUCAUCAAAUUUGCUCAAAAAAAAACCCUAAGUUCCUACAUCCAACUUCAAGAACCUCCAAAGUUCACUAUUAAUUCUACAAAUUUAUCAAGAUUCCAAGUUCCUAGUUCAAGAACUCCAAUAACCAUCAUUCAAAGACACGAUUAACAUCUCAAAAAUGAGUAUCGAUCUAAAGUUUAUCAUUCAAGGUAUGUGUGGUUUUUCAACAAGAACUCUCUUUCGUUCUUGUGCCCAAAAGUAAUUUUCUUUACAAAGGCAUGAUUUUUUAUUUGAUUUUUAUGAAUUUGAAGCAUGAACUCAUAUCUUAUGAUGAUUAUUAUGAAAUCUUGAUGUUUAUGAUUUGGAAAGAUGAAUUUACAUGUGUGGAGAUAUAAAGCAUGAAUCUUGAACGAUAUUUAUCAUGAUUUUGAUAUUUGGGUNNNNNNNNNNNNNNNNNNNNNNNNNNNNNNNNNNNNNNNNNNNNNNNNNNNNNNNNNNNNNNNNNNNNNNNNNNNNNNNNNNNNNNNNNNNNNNNNNNNNNNNNNNNNNNNNNNNNNNNNNNNNNNNNNNNNNNNNNNNNNNNNNNNNNNNNNNNNNNNNNNNNNNNNNNNNNNNNNNNNNNNNNNNNNNNNNNNNNNNNNNNNNNNNNNNNNNNNNNNNNNNNNNNNNNNNNNNNNNNNNNNNNNNNNNNNNNNNNNNNNNNNNNNNNNNNNNNNNNNNNNNNNNNNNNNNNNNNNGAUGGCAAGGAUAGGAUGGCUCUCCCCAACGUGGGUUGUAUGUUGGACUCCAUGUAGCUCAUAUGGUUUAUGUUAGUUAUAGGAUCUUUCAGUGUGUGUGUGUUUCCUUGUGUCUAUGGUGAAUGGUGAAGUGAUUUGAAAGUGGAAUUGUGAAAGUUAUUCUUUCGAAAGAUUUAAAUGAUAUUUACAUUAUGAGAAUUGAUAUUCUUGAUGAACUGAAAGUGAUUGACAAAUUAUAUGAUGACUCACAUGUGUUAUUGUACUUAUUUCAUCCUCUCAUGAUUAUGAUGAUUUUCUUCGGGCUAUGUGAGUCUUUCAUACAUCCUGCAUAUUUCUUAUAAAUAUUUAUGAUGAUGAUGUUUAUACAACUGUAUACACCCCCAUAUACUCGGUCUGUUUCUAUGGUACUGACCCAUAUCUUCGGAUGUAGGCUGCAUUUUCUCAAAAUGUAGGUUCAGGUGCUCAGUUCCAAGUUUGGCAGUGAUUCUUCAGGCACACUGUUCUACAUUCUCUGUUGUGGUGCGUCCUCUUUGAUAACUGAGUAUGAGUUUGCUGGGGCAUGUCUCAAUGGCUCACUGGUUUUAUUGAUUUUCUUAGAGGCUUGUCAGACUAGUAUAGAUGUUGGGAGUUGACUAAUAAGUCGUAUUUUGUUAUCUUUCUGAAAUUCUUUUAUUCUUGGAUAAUGAUUACUCUAUUAAUAUUUGAGGGUUAUUUAUGGAAACCCCGUUGAUUUGUGUUGAACUGAAUGAAAGUAACUCAAAGGGUUAGCUUGGGGCUACGAGUAGCCUCAAGCACUGUGUGACGCUCCGGGACCUAUUUUUCCAGGCAUUACACUAAUCGGGUGUCAAAUAAAUCCUUAAAGCUUAGGAAUUCAAAAUCAUAAUUUCUAAGAAUUUAUCAAGAAAUUGAAAGAAUCUUACCAUAAAUUUGAAGGAAACCCAUGGAAUAAUGGAUAACCAAGCUCCCCAAAUCAUCUACAAGAUUCAAUCCCACUUUAUCUCACACUUUAGGGUUUUAACUCUCCAAAGAAUGGAUAAAGAAUAAGUAAAAUUAAGCAAAAGGGGUCUUUUAUACAUAGACCAGGCAUUCGAAUUUUGCUAUCGUGACCCAUAGAUUGCGAUCACAAUAUAUUAGCCUGCCAAUACGAACCAUAAUCGCGACCUGGGUAUCGUGAUCACAACAUUAGCCUAGAAAGGGUAUCGCAAUUGCGACACCUUAUCUCACGUUUAUGAUGGCACCAAAUUUUUGAUGCACCAGUUUUUCUAUGUCCGAAAUGGACUUCGACCUAGAGUUAGAAAUUCAUUCGGAACCCCGUAAGCACAAACAAGCUAUGAAACUAUACCAAAUUUGACAUUAUAGACUCGAUGAAACCAUCAAAAAAUUCAUACGAGGUCAUUUUGACUAAAUGUGGUGCCUAAACAUAUAAUUCCAUUAUUUACAAAAUUAGCCCUAUAGCCCAAAAUGAGUCUAGAAGCCUCAAAACUGAACCAAAGGUCCCCCAACCUAAAAUUGAUGUUCUAGAGCUGAUAGCACUAUCAGCAUUCUUAUUCAAAGUCAUGUACUAGGAUUUUUAGUUUGAUACCAAAUCUUAAACAUCGAAAGCUCUAAAAUAUGGAAAUGAGCCUAAAAUCCAAAUGAAAUGUUCGAUCAUCAAACCAAUAGUUUUGGUAAGUCAUAAAUGACUUGUAGCUACUAUGGGCAAAGGCUUUAAAUGCCGAAAUUAUAAUCAAAUCAAGGAAUAACCUGGAGGAUCAUUUUAUAUCACCUAUACGAUAAAGGAGGACCAGGUCAGUAUAGCACAAUCCCUAUACUGAACACAAUGUCAGGUCUACUAGCAUUAAGAUAUAAUAAUGAACUAAUGAUUCCUAUAUACAUAGCUUUAUUUACAAACGGACUAGGGUCAUCCAAGUCUAGUUUUGAAGAAAUGCGAAUAUGAGUAUCAAUAGGUUUUGCAUCCUUCAUAUGGAAUCGUUUCAACAACUCAUGAAUAUACUUGUGCUGGAAAAUAGUAGUGCCAAUUACACUUUAUUUUAUCUGUAACCCAAAGAAGAAGUUGACCUCUCUCAUCAUAAUCAUCUCAAAUUCACUGCUUGUCGAUUUGGAAAACUUAUCAUGUAGGGCACUGAUUGUGGAUCAAAACUAUGAUUUCAUCAACAUAAACUUGAACAAUGAAUAGAUUUCCUCCUUGCCUUCAAAAAAAAGUGUGUUGUUAAUCUUUACUCUUUUGAAACCAUUAUCCAGUAAAAAUUUUAACAGCCUUUCAUACCAAGCCCUAGGGUCUUGCUUCAAUCCAUAAAGGGUCUUGUCCAACAUGAACAUAUGGUUUGGAAUGUCAACAUCUUCAAAUCCUGGAGGUUACUUCACAUACACUUCUUCUUUUGAAAUUCCAUUUCAAAAGACCCUUUUCAUAUUAAUUUAAAAUAGUUUGAACUCCAUAUAGGAAGUAAAAACAAUGAAAUUUGAAUAUCUUCCAUUCUAACCAUGGAAGAAAAUAUUUCAUCAUAGUGUAUUCCUUUCUCCUGAUCAUAACCUUACACCACUAGCAUUGCCUUAUUCAUGAUGGUGUUACUAUGCUUAUAAGCUUAGUUCUAAUACACCCAGGUGGUCCAUAUGACAGUUUCAUCUACAAGACUAGGGAUCAAUUGCCAUACCUUACUUCUUUUAAACAAAUUCAACUCUUCCUACAUGGCAUUUAUCCAAUCAGCAUUCUUCGAGGCCUUCUCUACAUUCUUGGACUCAACUUGAGAUAAAAAUACGGAGAAAGAAUAGAAUUUUAUAGCUCAAUUCCUAUUUUACAUUCUUGAAUCUAUAGAAGUGUGUAGAUUAUCAAGUUGAAAUGAGGAUUGAUGCUUCUAGUUGGGUCUAUGAGGGGUAGGCUGGUUUGAUCUGAGACCAGCUCCCAUAGAAGUGUUACCCUCAGGGGACUGGUGGCUUACUGAACUGGAUUGAGGAUUAGGAUUUCAUAAGAGGAUUGAGAUGAGCCAAGUUCCUGAUAAUCUAAGGAAUCAUCUUCAUCUUCAUGGGUUAAACAUGGUACUUGGGAGUCUGCACCAUCCUUAGUUCCUUUUUCUAACUUAUUAUCAUUAUCAUUUGACUUCUCUAGAUCAUUCAGAAUCUCUUCAAGAUUUGUUUCAUCAUGAUAAUGACCUCGACUAGACCCUUUAACUUAAUCAAACACAAUAUGUACACUCUUCUCUACACAUUGAGUUUUCUUAUUGUAAAUUUAGUAGGAUUUGUUGUUUGAGGAAUACCUAAUAAAGACUCAUCCAUCACUUCUUGGGUUGAAUUUACUAAGAUCAUUCUUACCAUUAUUAAGCACAAAAUAUUUACAGACAAAAGGUUUGAAGUAACUCAGCUUGGACUUCUUUUUGGUCAUGAGCUUAUAUGGAUUCUUAUCAAGAAUGGACCUAAUAAGACAUCUAUUGAUCACAUCAUAGGCUAUAUUAACUGCUUUUGACCAGAAGUUUUAUGUUAUUCCUGUAUCAAUCAGUAUAGUCCUAGCAAUAUCUACCAAGGUUCUAUUUUUCCUCUCCAUAAUACUAUUUUAGUGAGGUGUUCUAGGAGCUGAAAAGUUGUGAUUCAUUAUAUGAUCAUUACAAAAUUAACUGUACUUUGCAUUUUCAAAUUUUGUUCCAUGAUCUGACCUAAUCCUAGCAAUCUUUUCAUUGUAUUUCACUUGUACCUACUUUGCAAAAGCUUUAAACACUGGGGAGGUUUCCUUCUUAGAUCUCAAAAACAUUUUUCAGAUGAACCUUGAAUCAUCAUCAACUACAACAAGAAUAUACUUCUUUCCCCCUUUACUUGUAACCUUGACAGGUCCACACAAGUCUAUGUAAAGAAGUUAUCGAGGUUUAGAAGUACUCACUUAUUUCUUUGACUUGAAGCAGGACCUAGUGUGUUUUUCCUUCACACAGGCAUCACACACUUUAGAACAGAAAAAAUUCAACUUUGGCAUUCUUUAAACUAAGUCCUUACUAACAAACUUAUUUAGAAGAAAGUAGCUCACAUGACCUAACCUUUUGUGCCACAAUUCACCGGCAUCUUAUUGAACAUUGAGACAUGUAAGAUUCUUGGAGUUGUAGGAUCCUAAAUCAACAACAUACAUAUUCUUGUUCCUACAUGCAAUGAGCAUAAUUUGACCAUUUUUUAGAUAGGUAACUAUGCACUUGUCUGACAUAAACUUGAAUUCAUUUCCCUUAUCACGGAUUUGUGACAUACCCAAUAAACUGAAUUUGAGUCCAUCCACAUAGUACACAUCAUCAAUAUCUUGAUUCAAACAUUUACCAACUAUACCAACCCUAUAAUAUAACCCUUUUGUCAUCACCAAAGGAGAUACUGCCCCUUCAUGGGCCUUGAGCGAAAGGAAACCUUCAACUCUAUCAGUCAUAUGCUUAGAACCACCAUUAUCCAUGUACCACUGGUGCUUGUUUCCUCUUUCUCUACCCUGCAAACAUAAUCAUUUAUUAGCCUUGGGAACUUAUUGAAAUCUGAGUUCCUAAUAGGAUGACAAAGAAAAGAUUAAAUUCUUCUUGGUCCAAGCAACACACCACUACUUUUCUUUAAUUCAGAAGAUCUUCUCAACUUUUUAACCAAAACUAAUCUUGAAGAGAAGGUGUCUUUGACAUGACUAUUUCUUCCACAAUGCAUGCACAUGAGAUUGUUCUUCACAAAAACACAGUUGCUACAACAUACAUUUGAACUUUAGAAGCCAAGACCAACUCUAUUGUUUAAUCCAUAAUUUGUAAGACUUGUCAGAACUUGAAAGGAAGUGGUCUAUUUAAGAGCCCUUUCAAGUUUAGCUUUGUUCAAAUCAGGUCUCUCUUGAGCUUAGAGUUCCUUUCCAAGGAAGCAGUUAGCUAUAGAUUGGCUUUUGUUUGCUUUUCUUCCAACUCAAACUGAAUUUUGCUACCUUUACCCUGUACUUCAUGACUAGACUUAGCUAUUUGAUUAAGUUUUUAAUUCAAUAAUUUAUUUUAAAAAGAGAUAUUGGUAUCUUUCUUGCAAUUUAGACAAUUGUUCAAUUGACUCGAUAUUUUCUAUUAUUCAAUUAACUCAAAAUUUUUUACUUCAAAUUCAUUAAAGGUUUUGUUCAAUAAAUCCUUUUUAGUAAGAUCAGGAACAUAAUCUAUCAAGACAGUGGCAAGGGACCUUAGCUCCUUAAGUAAAUAAUCUUUAAGAUUUUCUUUUAUUUCCAGAAGAGUUACCUUGUCAUCUUCUUCAUUAAUGCCUCCAAGUCAAAGAGUGAAUCAUAAAUCUAAACAUCAUCUUCAACAACUAUCAUUGAGAUAUCCUCUUACUUUUUUAAUUUAUCUAACUCACUGAAGGUAUUUCCCCAAGUUGCAAGAGCUUGCUACACUACUCUGUCAUCAACAACUCUUCUAUUAUAUCUAUUAGGGACUCGAUCCUUCGUCUUCUCUCUAUCUCCAACAUUCUUGACAUACUCCUUGUACUCAAUCUUAUGAAGGGGACAAUAUUUGAUAAAAUGACCAUGUUUGCCACACUUGUGACAUGUGUCAUUGCCUUUGUUGUCCAUGUUGUGCCUGUUUAAGCAUCCUCUUCUUGGUAUCCCACCAUUCCUCCUUAUAAUCAUGAGAAAUAUUUUGGUGAUAUAAGUUGUUUCUUCAUUUUAUUCACUAUAUUCUCUUUAUGUAGACUUGAGCACCAAGUUCUUUUCUUUCUUCUACUCACCCUUUGCUUUAUCUUGUUGUUUCUUGAGUUCUUAAGUCUUUAGGUUUCCUAUCAACUUAUUCAUUAUUAGGGUCUUUUAGUCCUUAGAUUCAGAUAUGACAUUAACCUUGCUUUUCCAUGAUUUGGGCAAAUUACUAAGGAUUUUAUUAACCUAUUUGGUAGGUUUGAUUACCUCACCAAGGCAACGGAGUUCAUUGGUAAUAACAGUGAACUUGGUAUGCAUUUCUUGGAUAGUUUUACCUUCCUUCAUGGUGAAAGAUUCAAAUUGUGUAAUCACCAUAUCUAUCUUUGACUCUUUAACUUGACUCGUUCCCUAAUGAUCAGUUUGCAGAUAUUUUGAUAUUCCUUAGUUGUUUCACAAGUUGAGAUCUUGUUGUAUUCAUCAGGACCAAUUCCAUACACAAGAGCUUUUUGGCUUUGAAAAUUUUCUCUAUCUUUAUCCUAUCAGCCUCAUCAUAUUUCUUCUUUUUUUGGGAACAUUUGAAGUAACAUCACCCACUUUCACAUGCUUAGUGGGAACAAAAGGCUCAUCAAUAAUUAUAUCCCAUAGUUUACAAUCUUCAGCCAUAGCGAAGUCGUGCAUAUGAGUUUUUCAGCCCUCAUAUUAUUGUCCAUUAAAUCUUGAUAGCCUAGUGGUUGAUUCAACCUCUUUGAGAUUUGGCGGUGCUAUCAGUUAAAUGAUCCUUCCUAGGUAUUAACCUUUUAGGAAGAACCUGCUCUGAUACCAAAUGAAGAAAUAUACAAAUUCACUACUAACUUAGAAAACUGGUCCCAACUAUCAUGCUUAGUGAUGAACAAGACUAAAAGUAAAAUAAACAUAAAGAACAAUACACACAAACACAAUCUUUUACAUGGAAACCUCCAUGCUCAACGGAGUAAAACCACGAUCUACCUCGUAGGAUAUUCAACCACUUUACUAUGUUCAAGCAACCUUGAAUAUAGACUUCAUGGUUCAAUAAUUAACCUCUUAACCCUAAUUCAACUUGUAAUAACUCUAUUACAAAAACUCUAACAACAUAACUCUAUUGCACAAACUGACAUAGCUAACUCUAACUGAAUCAGUACCAAGCUAACUCUAUCUUCUAUGUCAAGUAACUCUAAAUGAAGCUUUCAACAACAAGAACACACUGAGAAAAUGCCUGCUAUUAAUGGAUAGGAGAAGUAGGCACAACGUUUACAAAACAUAAAAUAAAGGCUCAAAUACAAUAAGCGUUUGAGACACAAACAAUGAUUGAGCAGGUCUCUGUUGCAAGUAAGGCUUUGAAUGAUGAAAUACUUUAAGAGAAGUUUGAUGUUGUUAACAUAUGGAAGAUUGGUUUCCUUGUUGUAGCAUAUUGCACAUAUAUGAAAUAAUAAAACCUAGGACGUCUCUUAUUAGUUGGGGUAAAAAUGUUUUGCAGCCUUGCCACCAACUUUCUUCCAAAAUGGUACUUUUCCAGUAGUAAUGCUGACUGAGUGAAAGGGACAUGAAUACAAUGAACCUGGUCCCUGAGCAGCUGCAGUUUUGUGAUCAAAGGACUUUUAUGAACCAAGUACCAAGUUAAUAUUUUGUCAAUUAUCAAAACUAAGGGCUUAAUGGUACUUUAACUGAGUCCGUGGAGAAUCAAACAGUUACUUUUUUAAUUAUGAUUAUUAAAUAUUUUCAAGUAUUAACCAUGCUCAACUUAUACUACUAUGUUUUAGAAUACAUAUAUAGAUUAACAUUUCAAUUUUGUUUUUACUGACCACGGAACACCUCAAUUUUCAUUAUAACCAUCUAGAUAGACACUUUAAGUUGGCACAGGUACAUCUCGUGAAUAUCUUAAUUUUGAAAAUACACAUCUAGAUACUUUUAAGGGGUUGAAUUCUAGAUGUGCAUUCUCAAAUUCUAUUGUUUAAGAGAUGAAUUAAAAUCAAGUUAAGAUAUCUAGAUGUGUAUUUUUACAAUUGAAAUAUUUAGUUAUGACCUAGUUAAAGUGUCCAUUUAUAUAUUAUGCUAUUUUUAAAUAUUUAAAAUUCAUCUCAAAAUAAUAAAGAAUUUUAUAUGUUCUAAUUCAUACUGAAAAAAUAAGUAUUUUGAUUGUUCUUCUGAACUAUUUCAUAUGAGUAUGGUCGUGGUAGUACUAAUUUCCUUUCGAAUCAAGCAUGUUGCCUUGGUUGUGUUUCAAAAGAAGUUAUUCCAUGUAUAAAGAGGAAUAUGUUAUAUCAUUCAAGGUUUGUUUUUUCUUUUUACUAUUAUUCUAUUCUUAAGGAAUUGUACAAAUUGGGUGCAAGACAAAUUGCAUUUCUGGAAGUUCCACCAUUAGGAUGUUUGCCAGUGUGGAGAAAAUUAGGUGGAGGUCCAGCUAGAAUGCGUGUUGCUGAAUACAAUGAAGCAGCUCAAUUGGCCAACACCAAAAUCUUAAAUGCCAUUAAUUUAUUAGAACAAAAGUUUCCUCAUCAAUACAAGAUCAUGUUCAGCGAUAUCUUUUAUUCUCUACUUAAUUGCAUAGCCAACCCUCAAAAUAUAAUACAUAAUAUUAAUUUAUAUCUAUAGAGUUCACAUUUAUUUUUUUAUUUUAUCAACUCACUUAUAUAUAUAUAUAUAUUUGAUUGAUGAUAGAAUUUGAAGAAGUAGAGAGAGGGUGUUAUGGCUCAGAAAAUAUUGAGGUUGCUGCACUAUGCAAUAAAUUUAGUGAAAUAUGUGAAGAUGACACAAAAUAUUUAUUUUUGAAUAGUUUUCAUCUUACUGAGAAAGGCUAUCGAAUUCUUGUAGAUCAUAUAAUCAAAAACUAUACCAACAAUUUCUUGUAAAAAUGAAAUUGAUCAAGUUAAUAAACUUUUGGAUCAAAGGUUAAACCUAAUUGCUUUUAGUUUGUCCACCAUAUAUUUCAUUUAAAUAUCUUAAUUCCAUUGAUAAAGCUAUGAUUUAGUUUCAUAACAUGUGAUUGUACACAGUAGCGAAGACAAAAUUUUCAUAAGGAGGUUCAAACAAAAUAAGUAAACAUGCUACUAGUAUCCACAAAUAAGCAGAUUGGAUCAAAGAAGAUGAAAUAUAUAAAAUUUAAUUUUACCAAUGGCUAGUUAUAAGUCUUCAACUUUACUAAUUUAUAGCCAAACAUUUACGAGUAUACAUGUAUAUCACAUUAUGCUAUCCUGGAUUAAUGAGAAACAAAACAUUACCUUCCAUAAUUCUUUACGAUUACAAAAUAGGUAGUCCAAGUGUCCAACUCAGAAGGAGAGAAUAUUUCUAGAGCUUAAAUGUAAAAAACCUGGAAGUUGCAGAGCCUAAAAGUUAUUUCACUGGCAUAAGACAAGUGAUUAUAUGAAGAUGUAUCAAGUAACUAAUGAAUUCAAUAAAUGAAAGUCAGACCAAACCAUCAGCUAAUACAAUCAUUUAAUGUAUCUAAUUAGAUAAAAUUUUAUUAUGGGAACAAACCUAAUUAAAGGCAGAUUCAAAUGCUUCCAUCUGCCACCCAAUUUCAGUCCUCACAGUAGCAUCAACCACCAAAAUAACAUAUUUUUUCAAGUUACUAAGAUCCACCCGCAACUUUCAAAACAAUGGCUACAAAAUGAUACAAAAAAUCAAUAAUAACAUAAACCAUUAUAUUCUAGUCAAUAUUAUAAAACAUAGUAACAAUUUCACUACUUUACAAGGGGAUUCAUAAAUUAAAAAAAUCAAACGCAUGAAGAAGCCUAUCAAAACAUAGUUUUGCUAUUAAAAAUGCAACUACAUACAUUAUUACAAUUGUACUCUAUGAGGUAUCAUAUAUUGAAAUAUCUUAAUAAUAUAAUAAUAAAAAUAUUAUCAAUUACAUACUUUUAUAAAUAAGGCACCAAACAAUCACUAAAAAAAUCAUCACUCAUUCGGCUCUGCAAGUUAUUUUUGAUAAUUUUUAUUGUCAAAAAAGUUCUUUCAACGAAUUCGGUGACAACUGGUAGAAGUAGAGCACGUUUCACUAAGUGGAAUACUAGACGAUAAUUUGAAUAUUUCUUUGUCUUCACUAAUAUUUUGAAAAGAUCACAUAGCCCAUUGAGAUCGGAGAAUCUUUUAGCAAUAAUUUAACCUGCAAGUUGAUUUUCAAGAUUACCCAUAUUAAAUUCAUCAAAGUCAUUUGUAUAUAACUCAACCAUUCUCAUUAUUCUUUUAUUGUCAAAACUUAAAAAUGAGUUAAUUGAAUUCAAACAAGCAGUUCCAUAGAGCAAAUCAAUCGUUACCUCAUCAAGACGAUCAUUGAGUUCUUGAAGUUUCCAAUCAAUAAUAUUAUAAAAUACUUCGAUACGAUAAUGAUGUAAGAUUGUAUAGCUAGCAAGUUUACAUUGGUAUCUAAGGAGCCAACAUAUAAUUCUUCAAAGUUAGGUAUCGAAAUAUCACGUUUGAUACAAAAUAUAGAUACCUUAUCAAUAACAGAAUCUCAUUCAUUAUCCUUUAAAACUUGCAACCUUAUUUUUACUACUUCAACAAGUAGCAUGGCAUUUGCUAUAUCUUUCUUCUUUUUUAUAAGAAUUUAUUAAGCUCAUUUGUGAUAGCGAAAAUAUUUAUCAUUAAAUGCAACAUGAAAGUAACCUUAAAUGUUAGACAAGCUUCAAGAUGAGAUAUUUCAUGCAUCAAGAACAAGUGAUUCAAGAAGAUCAAUAAUAAAAUCAAAAAUCAAAAUAAAAUUGCUAAAUGAUUUAUAAUGGGAUCCCCAACUUGUAUCACAAGCUCAUGAAAGAUCAAGUUGUUGAUUCAAGUCCCUGCUGAUAGUAACUUCACUCAUAUCUAAUGCCUCUUGAAUUUUUUCUUUUUAAGAAUCUCAAAGUUCAUUCAUACGCUUAAAAGAAGAUCCUAACACAUUUAAAAUAUUUGAGACCAACACUAUAAGCUUUUCCACUUCAAUACACUCUUUUGAGACUCCAACAAGAGUUAAUUGAAGUUGAUAAGAAAAUAAUAGAAAGAAUAAGCUGAUUUGCAUUCCUUUCUAACAUUUUAAGACCAUUGAUCUAAUCUUGCAUAUUACUUGACCCAUCAUAACAUUGUCCACGCACCGCUGAUAGACUCAAGAAAUAUUGAGCAAGUAAAUUAACAACUGCUUCCUUUAGAGAUAAAGUACUAUUAUCUUGAACAUGAAAAAUGCUAAUAAGUUGCUCCAUUAUAAAUUCCAUUCUAUCAAUAUAUCAAAAUACAAUAAUCAUUUUCUAUUUGCGGAACACAUCAAAAGAUUUAUCAAUUAGUAAAGCAAAGUAGUCACCAUUUAAUUUCUCAAGAAUAGUUUAGUUGUCUCUAGUUUACAUGCAGUCACAAUAUCUUUCUGAUCAUUGAAGAAGUGACUUGAUCAUCUAGAGAAACAUAUUCUAGCACAUAGUCAUGAAUUAUAUCACACUUUUUUGCAUAUCAUGAGAAUAUUUGAAGAAAGUUACCCCUGCAAUGUAAUGAUUUAGAUUCAUCAUGGCCUCAAAAUGCAAAUUUUUGAGUUAUGAGAAGUCUUACUAUAUCAACCAACGUAAUUAAGUGAAUCAGAUAUCCCUUCUUAAUUUAAUUCAAUUGCCUAUCAAAUUUAAAUUGAAUAGAUUGUCAUUGUCAUAAUAAAUCUUGACAUUUCUUAUAUGAUUGAUUGUGUAUGCUAUUUGGUAGACCAAGAUGUUUUCCAAGACUCUUCUUUUUAUGACAACUUCUAAAUUCUAUAGUUGAAAAUACUUCACCUCCAUCGUGAUGAAUUUUAUUGUCUUUAAAAAGAUAACAAUACAAACAAUAGAUUGCAUCUUUACUAACACUAUACUCCAACCAAUCAUGAUAUACAUCGUCAAACUAUUCAUGAUUGAAAUGAUGCAUUGAUCGAGCAAUAUCUAUUAGAGGAUAUUCAUGAAGCUUCAAACGAGGUUGACAAGGACCAUUUAUGAGAUAUGUUCUUCUAAUAGGAUCAUGAUGUUUCGAAGGAUACUUCAGUAUUGAGAUUCUUUCUCCAGGAUCAAACUUUAAAGAACUCAAAUCAAAUUCUUGAGAAUGAGGUACUAGUAUUUCAAAAUGGUUGACAUUUUCUUCUUAAUGAGAUUGAUUAUGAUUAUUAGAGACUAAAUUAGAUUUUAGUAUUAUGGAGACUAAAUUUGAUUUUGAGAUUGUGGUACAAUAUUUCUCCACCGAAUGUUGAGACAUGUCAUAAAGUAAGAACUUAGUUAAAACUUAUAAAAAUCAAAUAAUAACGUAUUUUCUUAUUUAACUCUAAAAAAUUAAAAUAGGCUAACUAUUGAACAAGUAGUCAAGUAGGCACAUUAUCAACAAAGAAAAUAGUGGAACACCAAACCUUAAAACUAACAAGCACUAGACAUAGAAAGUAGACAUGUCAUUUAUUUUGGUUGUUUGCAUUUUUAAUUUGGUUCAAAUUGAUGCACAAGUCACAACAUAACUAGUAGAAAUUAAAAAUUCAAAUUUGGAACAAUGAAACUCUUAUUUUCCUCAACUAAUGUUUCUAAGUUCUAAAAUGGUGGCAGUGGCACUUAAAAGAAAUAAAACCUAAAAUUAGCCAUCUUUUGCACCAUAAGUCAUAAAAUAAAAAAGAAAUUUUACACAAAUAAAAAUCAAAAUCCAAGUACUACAUAUAUAGAAAUAGAAUUUUGAAAAGAAUAAAAUCAUAAACGAAGGAAUCGAAAACAUACCAAGGAAGUCAUAACAGAGAUAGAGAAGACCGGAGCCAAGUGGAGGUCGGAGGGAGAUGCCCGAUGAUGAUAAUCGGAAGAAGAAAGUGAGAGGCGAGUAGCGAGCUUAGCUUGCAGAGAAAGAGCGUGACUUUGUUAGAGAGAGAAAUAGAUAUGAUUUUUUAUUGUUUGACAUUGAAUUAGGGAUUUAAUUUUAAAUCCAAUUUGUCCCUUUUUUUAAAAAAAAAAAUGACAUCAUUUAGGUUCCUUUUAAGGAAAAAAAUGCCUAACUUUCCUUUUAACAUCUAAAGUGCAUGAAACAAAAAAAAAUUAUCAUGAACGGUUUCAAACCCGAGAUUGUGUGGCCCUCUGCAUGAAAAGUUAAAACCCCCUUGGCCACUGAGCCAAGUUUUUUGUUUGUGCCAAGGGGGUUCAACUUAGUGUAUAUAUAUAUAUAUACACAUAUAAAAAAAACUUCAUCUCUCUCUAUAUAUAUAUUGUAAUUUUUUGAUGAAGAGGAUUCGGAUGAACCCCUGGAGUAUACUUAUCUCCGCGCCUGAUGGUAUGUAGAGAACUUUCUCUAUAUAGGCUCUCAUUAUUUUUCAUUUAUUUAUUCGUCAAAGAGUAUUUAUGUUGAAUUUUCAAAUUAUCAAAGAAAUAAUUCUUUGUUUGAUAAAAAUAUUCCCUCUAGUUUUUUAAGUGUCUUUAUAGACUUUAAAAGUAAAUCCAAAAUGACAUUUUUAAAAACAAGAAAAUAUUAUUUCUUAUUUUUCUAACUAACAUUCUUGUUAUAAACUAUGGGAAUUGUCUAGAGUUUAAGUUUGUUGAAAACAGGGACUAAGUUUCUGAUUAGUCAAUAUACUUAAAAGUUAGUUAUAGUUAGUUAUGGUAGUAAAGUUAGUUAGUCUUAUCAGUUAGCUAGUACUUAAGCCCUCCUACAUGAUUAACCGAGACUUAAUAGACACUAUAUAUUUAUUUUACAAUCAAUUAGAAAUACAAAAUAUGCUUCUACAUUCUUCGUCAUCAUCUUGCCUUAUUCUCUCUUAUCUUUCUUCUUCUUCUUCACAUCAUACAAUAUUCAGAUUCUAGACUAAAGAAUCUAUAAAAAGUUUUAUGGUAUCAAAGUACAGAAGAUACGAUAAAGUUUCUAUAUCAUUUUAAUUUGUAAUUUUUUGUUUUUCAUAAUUCAAUUGAAGUGAUAAUGCUCGAUCAAAUAUUGAUCGCAUUGUCAAAAAUUCUUGACAACUCUACUCAAAUUUAAUUAAUUUUUCAAAGAUAUAUACAGUGGAAGCUAUCAACAAUAGAGGUAAAACACCUGUAGAUCUGACAAGUUCAUCCAUAGCUCCAGGGCUAGCACCCAACCAGUCUUCAACUCUAAUAUAUCACAAACAUCCUCUGUUCUUGACCUCAUAUGAUAUAAAUGAGAUGACUAUUAUUUCUUUCCAGUUGAAUGACACUGAAAAUUAUGUUUUAUGGAGAAAGACUAUGAAAAUAUCUCUUCUAGGAAGAAGUAAAUUGGGGUUUAUAGAUGGGUGUUUAAAAAAAAUUAGUCAGUGUAAUUGUGGGGUAUUUGAAAAAGAGUAAUAUAAUAGCAUUGUCGUGGCUUAUGAAGUCUAUAUCUAGUAGUCUAAUUAUGGGAGUUGUGUGUUCUUCAAAUGAAAGUAAGGUUUAAUAAGACUUGAAACAAAUAUUUCACAAAAUUGAUGGUUUAAGAUCCUAUAAUCUUCACAAAGAAUUGCAUUUAUAACUCAAGGUGUUCUAGCUUGUUUUUGUAUAUUAUACUCUAGAUUGAAGGCCUUGUGGGAUGAAUUUGAAUCUGUUGUAUCCCGCCCCUCACCCCCUUCAUGUGAUUGUGAAAAAUUUAAAGAUUUUUUAGUAUGUUUGCAAAGACAAAAGUUAUAUCAGCUUUUAAUGAGACUAAAUGACACUUAUGCUCAACAUAAAAGCCAAAUAUUACUUAUGUCCCUUAUGCCAAUAGUAAAUCAAGCCAAUUUCCAUGUUUGUUAGUGAUGAGAGUUAGAAAUCAGUUAGUGAAUCUUUUAGCUCUGCUGAGUUAUUGGGAAUGGCUCCCAGUGUAUCAGGUGCAGUGGCAAUGUACUCAAGAAAUAUAGUUCAAAAAGAGAAAUGGUCAUAUAAUCUUAACUAUAAUCUUAACACUACAUGUGAUAACUGUAAGUUGAAAGUACACUGACAAAGAAAUUGUUAUAGGCUAGUGGUCUAUCCACGUGCAGGUCGUCCAAGUCGUAAUGAGAAUAAAGGAGUAAAUGAUAAGCCUAUGACUAAAAUAGGAACACUGAUCAUAGGAAAAAGCAAAUAAGAAUCAGUUCAGGUGGAUACAAUGUAGUUGUAGAAGAGGGGGAUACUCGGUCUUCUCAGAUUAUGACAGCUCAGAACCAAGUAUAGAAUUAUCAAGAGGAUCCUAGAAAUACUUGUUAUCUACAAGGGAAAGUAAAUCAUGGUGGUGUAGAAUGGCAAUCAAAUAGUGCAACUAAUGCUUAGCUUCUGGUUCAGGUGCAAUCAUGUUAGCCUCUGUGAUUCGCCCCAGAACAAUAUCAACAAAUCUUUAAAUGCUGAAAAAAAUCAACCUGUGGCAUCGACCAAUUUAGUGAAAAUUACAGGUAACAGUGGUGCUCUGGUGAUCACAGAGGGUCCACAAUAUUGAAUCAAUUAGACAUAGGUGCCACUACUCAUAUGACUUCAGUAAUUGAGAUACUGAAGAAAACUUCAAUUACUAGAUUAAUAUUCCCAAAAGAGUACACUUACUGAAUGGGAACAUAUCCUUAGUAACUCAAACUGACGCUAGCGGCGUAUCAGAUAAAAGCAUUGUUAAAAAUGUUCUUCAUGUACCAUAGUUUAAAUUUAGUUUGUUGCUCGUGUCAAAGGCUACUAAACAACUACAAUGUUAUGCUACUUUUUUCUUGGCUUUUGUAUUUUUCAUAAUCUCUGCAAUGGGAAGGUAAAGGAUAUUGGUAGAGAAAAGAUAGGUUUAUAUAUCUUAUCAGUUAAAGACAGUGGUGGACUCAAAAUUUAGGAGUCGUGGGUGUCUUAAGGAUGUUCGAACACAUAUUGACACCCAAAGCUGAAAGUUUUCACUUGAAAACUAAGUACCAAACUAUUUUCUUGAUUUUUUGAAUGUUUUUUUGACUCUUAUAUAAAUUUUUAUAUGUUUUUUAUAUAAUACUACCUAGUCUGAGUCAAAUUUAAUGCGUGUCAGAGCACCACAAAAGUGCACCUAGAUCCGCCGCUGCUCAAAGAUUAUUAAAAACCACUAAGAAAGUAGAAUUUCUAAUAGCAAGAGCAGAUAAUACAAAUCAAAAUAAAGCUAGUAUUAAACUAUGGAACAAAACACUUGGCUAUGUGCCAUCUCAUACUCUAGACAAGCUAUUUCUUGACAAGGAAAGUAUAUAUAAAUACAAUAAUAAAUGAACGUACAAUAUGUCCUUGUGCUAAGCGGACUAGGAAUUCAUUCUCUAGCAGUAUUUCUAGAAGCUUAUAUAGCUUUGAGCUAGUCCAUAUGGAUUUGUGGGGCCCUUACAAAGUUGCUUCUUCAUAAGGUUAUAAAUUCUUCUUGAUUAUUGUUGCUGAUUUUUCAAAUUUACCUAGAUAUUUUUGUCAAAAUUGACGUUGGUGUCUAUACUAUGCUUAAAUAUUACUUUAUUUAUGUUUAAACUCAGUUUUAUGCAUGUACAAAAACAAUGAGAGCUGAUAAGGGAAUUGAGUUUAGUAACUCUUCCUUUGAUGAAUUAUUUAAUAAUCUAGGUAUAGUUCAUCAAUAAUCCUAUGCAUAUACCCCUCAACAAAAUGACACAUCUUAGAGAAAAUAUAGACAUGUUCUAGAGAUAACUAGAACAAUUAAAUUUCAAAGUUAUAUUCCCUUAUAAUUUUGGGGUCAGUGUGUCAAGGCCGAAGUUUACUUAAUUAAUCGGCGGGCUACCAUCUAACAUACUAGGUGGUAAAUCAACUUAUGAGAAACUACACCAAAGACAUUCCUCUCUCUCUUAUAUGAGAGUAUUAGGAUGUAUCUAUCAUGCUAAUAGUACAAGAACAAGAUAAGAUUAUGCCUAGAACUAAACAAGUUGUUCAUAUGGGGUAUUCAGAAACCCAAAAGGGCAACUUACUUUAUAAUUUAACUGAUAAGAAGUUUUUUUUUCAUAGGGAUGUGGCAUUCGGGGAAGAUGUAUUCCCAUAUUAGACUACUAAGGAUCAAGAGUCAUAUUUUGUUAAAAGAUGCUUUAAGGAAUAAUGCACGUGAUUUAUUUUUUAUUUUUCUCCAACUUUUUUAUAUACAACUCCUAGUCAUAUUAGGAUUUUUAGUUUUGGUAGGAAACUGACUACUUAUUAUUUUUGGUAGCAAAUAUGUUUCUUUUAUGGUAAGUUUAAUCUAUUUCUGAUUGUUAUAGCACUAUUUAAGGAGGAGUUGAUGAUCAAUAAUAUGUAGUUUUACCAUAAAAGAAAAAUAAACUUGUCUGCAUCUCUUCUCUUCUAACUCAUCUCUAUUUUCAGUUUUUAAGAGUAUUAUUAAAACCAACAAUUGGUAUCAAGAGCCAAUUUCUUAAGGAAUCUAUGAGUGAAGAGAUGAAUUCUGAAAAUAGCUUUUCAUAAGUGGCUCCACCCGUUUUUAUGGUGAAAAUUAUCAAUUAAGGGCUGUGAGAAUGAAAACUUACUUGGAGGCUCAUGAUCUAUGGGAAGCUAUGGAAGAUGAUUACAAAAUUAAUUCGCUAUCAAAUAAUCCCCCCACAGCCCAAAUCAAGAGUCACAAGCAAAAGAAAAUCACAAAACUUAAGGCUAAGGCAACUCUGUUUGCUUCUGUUUCAACAACUAUUUUUAUAAGAAUUAUAUCUCUCACAUCACCAAAAGAAAUUUGGGAUUAUCUGAAGAAAGAAUAUACUAGACAUGAAAGAAUCCGCGGAAUGCAGGUACUAAAUUUAAUAAGAGAGUUUGAGUUGCAGAGAAUGAAAAACUCCGACACAAUCAAAGAGUACUCGGACAGAUUACUUGGCAUUGUUAAUAAGGUAAGAUUGCUAGGCAUUAAAUUUAAAGAUUCAAGAAUUGUUGAAAAAAUUCUUGUUACAGUGCUCUAAAGAUAUGAAGUAUGCAUAACUACCUUGAAAAAUACACAAGAUCUGUUCAAGAUUACUUUGACGGAGUUGUUAAAUUCUUUUCAGGCACUAGAACAAAGAAAACUUACGAGGCAUGAUGGUAUGGUUGAAGAAGCCUUAAAAUCCAAUCACAAAGCUCAAAGAAGGGGUAAAAAUGUAAAAAUUGCCCACCUUGUGAGCACUAUGAAAAAAUGGGUCAUCUACCAUAUAAAUGUUGGAAAAGGCCAGAUGCGAAGUGCAUCAAAUGUAAUCAACUUGGCCAUGAAGCAGUGAUUUGCAAAAGCAAAUUUGAAAAUUAUGAAGCAGAUGCACGUGUGGUCAAUGAAGAAGAAAAAGACCAUCUUUUUGUUACAAUAUGUAUCUCAAGUAAGGUUUCAAAAUAUUUUUGGUUGAUUGAUAGAGGUUGCACCAACCUCAUGACUUAUAACAAGAGUUUGUUUGAAGAAUUAAAGCCUACUGAAAUAUCCAAAGUUAGAAUCAGAAAUGGUGACCAGAUUCUUGUUGAAGAAAAAUGAAUUGUUGUCAUCAAAACAAGUUCAGGUAAUAAAGCAAUUUCAAAUAUUCUUUAUGUACCUGGUAUUGGUCAAAACUUAUUGAGUAUAUGUCAGCUGGUAGAAAGUAUCCUUUGAGGAUAAACAUUAUUUCAUCAAUGAUGGUGCUGGAAAAGAAGUUUUAAACAUUAAGAUGAUAGGUAAGAAUUUUUUAUUUGAUCCAAUGGAAGAUGUUUCCGUAGAACAUGAAAAAGAUCAUAGGCUGAAAAAAAUAAUCCUCUAAUUCAAAAAGCACAAGCAAUAUGUGAACAUGCUAGGUUUAGAAGCUUUCAAUGUUCCUAAAGGAAUCAAAACAAUAGAAGAGUUAUCUAUGUUUCAAAAAAAUAAAAUGGGUAAAUUCAAAUUCAAGAUGCAAAGGAAGCAGGAAGAUAUGCCAAAAGGAUUUAAUAGUUAAGGUUGCAUUCAAGACAACAAGUGAAUUUAGUUCACUACAAGCCGAAAGAUGAAUCUUCAAAUUUAUUUACAAGGUCACUUUUGGUUAUCAAGUGUGGAGAUUUCAAGACAGAAGAAGAUUAAAAUUUUGCCUUUCCUAAAGCAAAAAGGAGUGUUAAACGUUGCUUUAAGGAAUAAUGCACGUGAUUAAUUUUUUAUUUUUCUCUAACUUUUUUUUUACAUAUAACUCCUAGUCAAAUUAGGAUUUUUAGUUUUGGUAGGAAACUGAUUAGUUAUUAUUUUUGGUAGCAAAUAGGUUUUCUUUUAUAGUAAGUUUAAUCUAUUUUUGAUUGUUAGCACUAUUUAAAGAGAGUUGAUGAUCAAUAAUAUUUAGUUUUACCAGAAAAGAAAAAUAAACUUCUCUGCAUCUCUUCUCUUCUAACUCAUCUCUAUUUUCAUAUUUUAAGAGUAUAUAUAAAACCAACAUAUUUGUUUAGUUCUCUUUAUCUCACCUUUACUGAUGAACAUGAUGUACUAGUUCACAGACCUUGUGCUAACACACAUCAAUAGUGAUGUAGAUACACCUCACUUGGAAGACAAUAUUCAAUAGACAAAUAUACCACCUACACCAUUUGUUUCAGGACCUGCACCAAUGAAUGUUACUCCUACACAAGCUACACCUACACAUGCUGUACAUGCUCAAGAUUAAAGGAAAUCUACAAGGAGCACAGAUCAACCAAGUUGGAUGAAGAUUUGAUAUCCUUAAUUUGCAUGAUCAUAUGCCAUAUACAUUGUCAAACUACAUGUCUUAAAACUCUAUCUCUCCUAAAUAUUAAUCUAACCUUGCUGCAUUCUCUAAUAUUAUUUAACCUUCUUAUAUAGAAGAUAUUAAGGAUCCAAGAAGGAUAGAAUCUAUGUAGAUAGAAAUCAAUGCCUUGGAAUCAAAUAAGACAUGGUUAGUGGUUUAUCUACUCCUAAACAAAAUACCAAUUGGUUGAAAAUAGAUUUACAAAGUGAAAGUAUAAGGCUUUAACGGAAAUAGAAAGGUUUAGUGCUAGGCUUGUUGCAAAUGGAUAUAGUCAGACUGAGGGUAUUGAUUAUAAAGAAACAUUCAGUCCAGUGGUUAAAAUGGUCACUUUGGGAACCAUUCUAGCUAUUGCAGGAACUAGGAAUUGACAUAUCUAUCAAAUGGAUUUGUAUAAUGCGUUCUUACAAUGAGCUUUGAAUGAUGAAAUAAAGAUGGAACUUCCAUAUGGAUUGAAAAAUUAGGGGGAGAACAAGCAAAUAUGUAGGGUUUCCAAAUCCUUGUAUGGACUUAAGUAAGCACUUAGGAAAUGAAAUGUUAAACUCUCCGAAGCACUGAUCAACUAUGGCUUUAAAUAAAGUCAAUAUAAUCACUCUUUAUUUACCAAGAAAAUAGAAAGUGGAUUAAUUCUAAUACUAAUCUAUAUAGAUGACAUUCUCAUAACCAGUGAAAUGAUAGAGAAGAUGGAAACCACGAAUUCCCUGCACAAAGAAUUCAAGAUGAACUAUCUGGGUGAACCAAAGUACUUCCUAGGUAUUUAGCUUACGAGAUCAGGAAAAGGAAUAGUGAUGCACCAGAUGAAGUAUGCACUUGAGUUAAUAUCCAAUAAAAAACUGAGUUCAGUUAGCCUUAAAGCACACCUAUGGACACCACUACUAAAUUAACUUCUUGUGAUUAUACUGAACAUAACAAAAAAGAAGCUAAGACUACUGAUAAGCUAAUUAAUGAUAAAGGUACUUAUUAGAGAUUUAUUGAAAAAUAAUUGUAUCUUACAGUAACCAAACCAGAUAUUGCAUAUAGUGUAUAAACCUUAAUCCAAUUCAUACAACAAUCAAAGAAGUCGUACAUGGAUAUUGCAUUAAGGAUCAUUAGAUAUUUAAAGAACAAACCAGGUCAAGCUCAACUGCUAUUUAGUAAAAAAGAGGAUACUCAAAUAGCUUACAAUGAUGCGGAGUGGAUAUCAUGUGUUGUAACAAGGAAGUCAGUAACUAGAUUUGUAAUCAAGUUAGGUGAAUCUUUGAUAUCCUAGAAUUCUAAGAAACAAUCCACAGUAUCUAGAAGCUCUGGUGGUAUAGAAGUCUAGAAACUAUAGUGGGUAAGUUAAUGUGAUUAGUAGAAAUUAUCAAAGACCUUGGUAUACCAUUACAACUACCUAUUAACGUCUUCGGUGACAGCAAAACAACCAUGUAAAUGAUUGAUAAUCCUAUACGUCAUGAGAGAACCAAAUGUAUUGAGAUAGAUUGUCAUUUUACAAGGAGAAAGGUUCAACGAGGUUUGAUAAACCAUAUUAUAUUUCAACCACUGAUUAACCUGCAAAUGUUUAACUAUGAUCUUAGACAGAGUUCAGCAUGAAUACCCUAUCUUCAAACUUAGUGUGUUUAACAUCUUUCCAGCAUCAAGUUUGAUAGAGAUUGGGGUGGGGGUGAAGAUAAGGGAAUAAGUUAUUGAUUGGUCAAUACACUAAAAAGUUAGUUAUAGUUUAUUAUGGCAGUUAAGUUAAUAAUAUUGGUUAACUAUUAAUUAAGCUAUCCUAUAUGACUAAUGGUGACUUAAUGUACAUUAUUUAUAUAUCUUAUGAUUACUCAUUUUACAAUAAAUUAGAAAUACAAAAUAUGCUUUACAUUUUUCUUCAUCAUUUUUCUUCAUCAUUUUUCUUCUUCUGUCUUCUCUUUCUUCGUGUUCACACCAUACAAUGUUCCGAUUCUAGACUAAAGAAUAUAUAGAUUUUUUCAAAGUUGAGGCCCUUUUUAUAUUCUCUAAAUUCAUGUUAGGAUUACCUCAUCUAUUAAUGACAGAUGAAGGUACAAAAAGGGAUAAACCCCAUAUUGUGGAUGGUAAAUGAAAGCAGAUCAAAAAGGGAAAACUUAGUCAGCUUGGUUUGAAGUUGAAUCUAGAGUUAGACAUGAUCCCCAUUGGUCAUGAACUUGGGUACGAUGGGGCAACACAGUGCACUAUCUUUGAUUUCGACUUUCAGUCCAAGUAUUUUUGUAAGUCAAGCUAGUACCUCUUUGAUGGUGGUAUAUGGUAUCUCUACUAUAUCGGAGAUGACUUUGGUCACAUAUGAAGUGUGAAAUAAGGUGGGUGAAUAGAAAUAGGUAGGGUAAGGACAACUUGUGGCAUAUAGAAACUCGGCUUACAUAUUUACCAAUAAGCUAGCAGUGAAAUGUGUGCCCCUAAACUAUAUUUCUCCUUCACUACAACGGGGUGAGAUUAUGGAUGAAUUGAAAAAGGAUGAUAUUGAGAUAGAGAAAGCUAAGUGAAUUCAAACUAUUAUUCUAUAUGUAGAGGGGAGUCACCCACAAUUAGGGUGUAAGGCUAAACUAGCCCAAAGAUACUGUUACAUAGUGUGAUAUUGUCUGCUUUGGAUCAAGCCUGCAUGAUUUUUCCUAAAAUGUAUUCAUCACACUAUUAAGAAACCCUAACACAUUAUAUGUAGCUUCCCGAUCGUUGUAGCUACCAAUGUGGACUUUUGUUUGCACAUCCAACAAUUUCCCCAACUCAUUAAACCUUGACUUUGAUAUCAAUUGUUGUGCUAAACCAGCCCAUAGUCACUCUUACAUGAUGUGAUACUAUCCACUUUGAGCCAAGUAUGCAUUCUUUUCCUUGAAAGGCCUCACACCAUUAAGAGAUAAUAUACCUUAUACGUAGCUUCCCAAUUCUUUCAGCUAAUAAUGUAGGACUUUUAUUCGAACACCCAACAUGGGGAAAUGGAGCAAUAUAUUGCAGCCAAUUCUAAUUUUGUAUCGAAAUUGAAGGUGUUCUACCAUAAUGAUGUUUACCUUGUUCGUUUCAAUGCCUUGGACAAUUGUGAGGGUAAGUUCUCUAUCAAUAAUAGAGGGCAAGUAUUAGAAACAACUGGUUUUACUAUGGGGAAAAUUCGUAAUGUUUAUAUCGAUCUUUUAUGUGCCUCUACAUCUAGCACAGGGUAGACCUUUGAGCUCUACUUUGGCCAAAAUUCAAUUUAUAAUAAACCUAUUAUUUUCCGAGUGUGAACAUUAGAACUAUGCUGAUUUAGGUCUAAUUGCCCAACCUACCAUAUUUGUUGCUGGGGAAGAGAGACAAGGAGGUUCAACUAUUUACAAAUGGUGCACCAUAAUUUUGAAAGAAUUUCGUAUGCUAGGUUACUAGUGCACAUGGAUGUGACGAUGAAGGAGGGGAAGGAGCUAUAUUAAUGUCAAAAGAACCUAGUGGGAGGAUCUUUUGGGAUGAAGUAGUCUAUGACUUGCUUAGGCUCAUUUACUGCCCUAUGAAUAGUCGAUCCUACCACUUGAAACAUCCCGACUUCCAUUCUCAACAAAUAUAAUAUACACACUAUUUACUUGCUCAUCUAGAAAUAGUUAUCUUUGUUUACUUAUUUUCACACUGCUCUCAUGGAGAUAUUUCUAGCUCUCGGAGGACGGCCUCUAUAGCAUGAUUCUUAGAUCUAUCGAUCCUUGUUUAUUUGCUUUCCAUUUAUAUUUAUCAAUUAUUAUGCCUCUAUUGCUUAUUAAACUAGAAAGACUAAUCAAACCACUAGUAAAUAAACUCAAAAUCAAAGUUUAAUUAACAUGCAUGCUCUUGACGUCUAACAAAUUCAAUUGUACCUAUUUUGGGCAAACAAUUAUGGCGUUCAACUUUUAGUUUGAUUUUCCUGUAUGUAUACACUAAAGUGUGGUAACAUAUUUGAGAGAUGGUUUCAAAAAUUUGCCUCCACAUUUGAGUAUCAUAAUCUAAUGGUUUAAGAUUAAUAAUGAUUACGAUCCGACUUGCUUUCUAAUAUUACAUCCUUCAAUUAAUUAAUUUUAUGAAUAUCUUCUUUAAGAUUAGAGAUAUGCGGACGAACGUGGAAAUUACUCCUAUAACGUAAUAAUAAGUAUUGUUGUCAAACUCUAUUUAUUGACAGCGACAGAAGUCAAAGUGAUAUAAUCUAAAGACGCCUUCUGUUUGAUAAAUACCACCAAACUAUAUAUCAGAAAAAUGAUAAAAACUUGCAGUGGAAAGGAUUCAAAAUGCAAUUCUUCACAAACUGACAGGUGAAAGCCUCUCAUUUCAUUUUUUAUUUCUUUUCCUUUUUUGGUUCUUUCACGACUAAAUAUUUUUGCUAAAAUUAAAAUUGAACUCCUUCAAAAGUUUGUCCAAAUCGCCAGUUAGCUGGUGAAAUGUUGUAGCUUGUGAUAGUCCUUCCAUCACUUGUAGUCACUUGAAAUGAAAGACUCUGACCAUUAAGAUAGGAAUUGCUCUGCCAAUUUUGGCCCCAAUUCCUUGCCAUUGUCUGCCAUUCAGAAUCAGACCCCUUAAUAGAGACUGAAUUAACAUCCCCAGCACCCCCAACGUUUGUCACCAAAACCAAGUUAAAGUAAGAAUUUCCAUUUAUUGUGAACCUUAUUCCUCCUUUCUUGCUGCAGGGCACCCUGUGAAAAACCUCAGAGAACAUGUCAACCAACUAUUUCUUGACAACUAAAGUUACAGGGAUAAGGCACAAUUUCCUCCCAAACUAUACCUGAAAUCCCAAUUCUGUAUUUUUGUGCUUCUUUGUGAUUAUGUGAUUGUCCAAUAGCAAAAUAUUUUUGUGCUAGCUUGGUAAAAAAGUAAGUUUAGGGGUACUAGGAUCCAUAAAGUUUAAACAUGUCAUUGAGAUUUCGAGCACAGUUUGUGAGGGUACUUAUGUCUUAUCUCAAUGUUAAAUAUGUGCAAAGAAUUUUUGCGAUGAAGAUAGUCUAAUUUGUAAUUGCGGAAUUGUUUUUAAUGGAGUAUAAGAUGUUAAAUUCUUGCUUAAAACAUGUCUUUUUUUUUUAACGUUAUAUUCACUUACCGGAUGAUAAAAUUUGUACGCUAUUUAGUGCAAUCUAGUUAAUUAGUUUACGCGUUAAUUUUAUAGUUACCUAAAAUGAGUUUUACUAUCACUUAUGUUACAAAACUAUUUGCACAAUUAGCUAUAAGGUAACUAAUUAGUUAAAUAACUAUGACAAAUAAUAAUUGGUGAACUAAUAGAAAUAGUAACUACUCUCGCUGUUUUAUUUUAUGGCACAUUUUUCUUUUAGUUUGGUUUGAAAAGAAUAAUGAUAUAUUUAUUUAUUUAUGUAGAAAUAACUUAGCUAUAAUUUUUAUUUUUAAUUUUGUUCUAAAUAAGAUGAUUUAUAACCACACAAAUAUUAUAUGACUUAUAUUAUAUCACAAGUUUAAAAAAUCUCUAAUUUAUGCGAAGGUAUUUGAUUGGACAUGUAGUUUAAAAAUGAAGAAAGACUUGUAAAACAAGUCGUCUAAACCAAGCCAUAAAUAUGAAGUGAAAAUGACCUCUUACGACAACUUAGAAGAAGAAAAUUAUCUUUCAAAUAUCUUAUAUAUAAAAGUAAAAGAUCUCCUAUGUAUAAAAAUGACAUAAAAUUAAAAACAAGUUUGUAAAAGGCUAUGAAACUAAUCCCCCAAUAGUUGCGAGCUAUAAAUAAUUUCUUUAAGAGUUAAAAGAAAAGUUUAAGUUAAAAAGUUAUACUAAAUAUAGAAAGACUUCAUUUUUUUUAUUUAGAAACGAAAAAGAGUGUCACAUAAAUUGAGUCACAAAGAAUAUUUUGUCUUAAACUUGCCCUUAAUUAAAUAAAGUCAUGUAAAUUGAGAAGGAGGAAGUAUAUAUUACUACUAUAAUAUAUUAUUGUCUGUAUAAUUGAAUCAACCUAUAAUUAUUUUUUCACUGAGCUAAGAGAUGGUGAAUUUUUUUGCCUAAUGCCUUUCUUUGUUAUUUUGUAAGAUCAAAGUUACCUUACACUGUCAGUGCACAAAAUUUAAGCUCAAAACAAAAAAUAGAAGUUCACCUUCGGAAUGAAACAGGGACAAUUCCGGCUCUGUACUGAGCUAUUUGCAAGAAGGCAGGCUCAGCCAAGUCGAAGUGCUGGCGUGGAGGAUUGCACCAUCCACCGUUGUCAUUCGGCUCGGAUGGAUUUUGAGGGCAGAAAUUUGUGGCAGUGACAGAAAUAGUCCCCGGAAGGCACCAUGGAGCGUCAUUGCUGCAAGUGAGCUCGUAGCAAGAUCCACAUGCCAAGCCAUUGUUGAAUAGUUCUGUGCUUAGUGCUGCAGUGUUGGUUCCAUAUCCUUGGCUAUACAAAUUGCCAUAACCACAAGCACCCCCUACAUACAUGCUCCACAACAUGAUGUUUUUUUAGCCAAUUUAACUUCAAUAGUUUAUAUAAGUACAGGAAACCGUCCAUAAAACAUUGUCCAUAAACCUCCUACGUGCUAUAAACGAGUUCAAAUGCAGCAAUAGCUUAAAAUUAUUUAUAUUGUCAGUGUAAUAUUUUUUCAGUUGCUACGAUUAAGUAUGAAUUAGUUUAUUUAUCAUGAGUUGGAUCAUUUACAAAGAAAACAUCACUUCUUUGUUUCAUUAAUACUACUCUGUUUAAAAUGAACUUCAUUUUCUAUAUCGUUUUAAUUACAAUAUCUCACAUCGCAUGUUCAAAAUCACAAGAUUUAAAGGAUAUUUUGAUGCAUUAUACCCAUUAGUUUAAGACCAUAAAAUUCAAAUAAUUUUAUUUUUAAUUUUAUAAACUCCGAGUCAAGUAAAUUAAGACUGUAAAAUAAAGCGUAGGCAGGGACGGAGCCACCUUUAGCUCAGGGGUUCAUCCCAAUACUCUUUGAUGGAAAAUUAUACUAUUUGUACAUGAUUAAAAUUAUGUUUAUAUAUAUAUAUAGUUGACGUUGACCCCCUUUAGUUAGUUUAUAUAUUUACUUCUGAAUCCCUUAGUAAAAAUUGUGGCUCCGUCACUGAAUGUAGGGGUAGUAUAGGAUGAAAAGUUAUAAAUCUUUUGAACAUACCCAUUGUACCAGAAGCAUCACUCCCUCCAUAGAAGGUGGCAUGCGCACUUUGCCAGUCUCCAUAGUCGGCGAAAGACCCAUGGAAGCAAAAGCUUAAUAAUGAUAACAAUAAGAGGAAGAAGAAAGCAAAAUGUGUGAAGAAUGUUGCAGGAACAUCCAUUAGUGAAGAAGUUGAGAGUUAAUUAAUUAACGAGGAUGAGAGAGUAGUAAGUGGCUUAAAGCUAGUAGAAGGGGUAAGGAGGCGCUAUUUAUAUUUACAACUAGUGAACUUGAAGCAGAAAUUGCUGCUAAAGAUAUGGUAGGCAAAAUUGAAGUAUUGUAGAUAGUGACAAAUUUAGAACGCUGUCUUAAAAGCUGCUGAAACUUUUCUCCUUCAAUUAAUUCUUUUUGUUUUCGGUAAUCUUUCAAUUAUUUGUCUCUACGCUAUUUUCUCCGCAUUGUUUCACUUGUCUACUUUCGAUUCAAGUAAAAGUGAAUGGAUAAAGUAUUUAUUUAUGUUAUUUAGUUCUCCCUUUUGUUCCUUUUUAUGUCCCUUAAAUUUGAAAUAGAUAUUUUUUUACUUGUUCAUUUGGCAGAUCUUGAGACUUUUUAUUUUCUUCCAAUAUUAUUUGUAUUGUUACGAGAGACUUGAUUUGAUUAUUCGUAGUUAGGUUUAUACAUAUGCUUUGUUUUUCUAAGUUGUGUACUUUAUAUUUUCAAUUUUUCAUCACCGUCAUGGAUAGGACGAAAACUCCAAGUUAAUUGAAGGAAAUAUGUCACGACUAGAACCAGGGCGUAGUCGAGAUAGGUAUCUCCAAUCCACCAUGAGCCGAUGACCACCCCUUAGCCUAACCUCCAGAGGACAAUAAAAGAAUAUAGCGAAAGCCAACCAAAUACCAAUAAGAAGACUAGGUAAUUCAAAUGGAAAUUCUAACAAUCCGAAGCAAACAAUCAUCAAUAAUCUUAAUACUUGUCAACAAAAGCCUCUAAAAUCAAAAAUACCAACUAAGUCGGCACAUGCUCCCGACUAUGACAUAAAGGAAUUCACAAUUCUCAAAAUAUGAAAAGAAAUCUAAUGAAAUGACAGGGCUUUUCGAAAGAUGGAGGCUCACUACUUUACAAUAAAUCAACCGAUGAAUCACACCACCUAAUGCUGCACAGAAGAGACAGAAAAGUCCUCCGAAUCUACAUCAUGAAAUAAUGCAACAUCCAAAGAUGGUCAGUGGGGCUAACACGGACAUGUAACUUAGAGAAAAGGGAUAAACUAAUGCCAUUACCAAAAAAAUCAGUCAAAAUCACAUGCACAACAUUUAUAUACAUAUAUAGGAUACCGGGAUGGGGACAUGGUCAUGAACAUGAGAGUUUAAACCAUUAGUCCGAAUUAUGUAGCUCGCUCCAUCUUAAGGUACCCACAAGCUAUAUGGGUCCGACUCCCCCGACGGAAGGGCCCCAAUGCGGGAGAGUUGCACGUACCAAGGAAGCCGAGGAAAUUCUAAAGUCACGAAGCCAUCCAAAAUAUAAAGUGUGCACCAAGCACACGGUUACACAGAACGCCACAUCGGCAAAUGUGGUUUUCACUGCUGCUGUCCCCCUACGGGGACUACACCUUCUCGGUAAGCUACAUAAUUUUUGUAAACCCAAAUUAAAAUAGUUUACAGAUAACUCAACCAUUAACCAAUCAAUCUUUAUUAAGAUAUUUUCCAACCUGAUAUCGUCAUAAGAAUAUGCUUGCAAGAUAAUUCCAUUAUGUUAGACUAGUCCAUUUAACCACUAGAUUCCCAAGUUUCAUUUAAAACCCAAAACUAUGGCCACCAAGGGCAUUCCAAACCAUUGUUAUCGAUUCAUCCUUUAAUGCAAUAUAAUAGAUUGAAAAAUAAGUUAAAUUGUGUGAAUAACCAUAUUUAAAAUCAAAAUUGUAAAGUGGGUUGAGGUUAAUACCAUUAUCAUGCCAAAAUUCAUUCAAUUUGGGGAAAACCAUGUCCUCCAUUUCAACCAUUAAAUUAAUGCACCAAUUUAGUUCAAAACCAUCAAUUAAAAGCAUGAAAUACAAAUUUAAACAUCGGAAAAACAAUUCAUGUAAUAAUCAACCAAAAUCCCUCAAUCCCAUUUCAAACCCAUCAAUUAAAUCACAUGAAUAAUGAUUAAAGAAAUGCCACAAUAUAAAAUUUAUGUUAUGGAUGAGAACAUUCUUGAAACACCAAAGAAUUUGAAGAGAAAUCAAAGCUUGGAGCUUGAAUGAUGAAUUCUCUGUGAAACCUAAUAUCCCUUGCCUUGGGAGUUAAAGAGGAAAAAGUGAGGUUUAAUCUUGAUAACUGAAGGAAAAAAGGGUCUUCAAAGUGUUUUAACUUGUGGAAAAGAGUGCGGAGGGAGGAAAAGACCAAAAAGACCCUAAUUAAAGCAUGCAAGAAAAUCCUAAAAACAGUUAUCCUGGGUAACGACUCAUGAGGUCUGACCACGAGUCUUGGCCCAGAGUCCCAAGCUUUCCCUUUAGUAGCAUAUGUAGUCCUUUUUGUUCUCUUUUAUCCACCUGAUAUUCCACAAUUUGUUCCUCCAUUUUCACAACAAAUUUAGAGCCCAAAGAGAGGAAAUUAGGAAAUCAUCCAUUUAAGCUAAGGUAAGCUAGCCUAAUAUUAUGCCCAAGCGCACACACAACUAUACAUAGUCCACCAAAGUAAUAUAGUGGCCUUAUGAAAAGCCAAGUAUUAAUCCCACAGGGACUAGUAUUAAGAAAUUAUCUUGUUCCAGUCUCACUUCAAAGAUUAAAUAGAUGCUAAAGUAACCUCAAAAGUUUGGGAAGUUAAAACUAAACAUAAACUUAAACAAGGCAAUAGAUUAAAAGUUCUUGGACAAUAAUAAGGAAAACCUAGGGUUAAAGCACUAUGAACAUCAUAAUAAGCUAUGGUAGUCCGUUGAUUAGGUUACUUAUCAUGGUUGUUUGUUCACGAGGUCGAUAUUAUGAUUAUGGACUUUUGAACCUCUCAACAAUUAUCUAACUUAGCCCACAACUACAUCGUUGAGCAGAGAUACAAGAACUAAGUCAAAUGCAUUCAUAUUCUAUCCCAUAAUUGAAGAAAAUAGGGUACUUAGGUAUAUUUCUAUCCUAAAUACAAUUCAUAAUAUCAUUAAUUUUAGUUUACGAUCCCAUUCUAUAUAUCCAAUGUUCUAUCCUAUCAUUCCUCCUUUUGGGUUCACAAUAGAAUUUGGCAUGUAUUAUAAGGAUCGUAAAUCCUUAAAAUAGUGAUAAAGAGGAUAAAUAAACAAUCAAAAAUCAUAAAUAACAAAAAUCAAUUCAAUUUAUAAUAAGAGUAAUCAUGUUUUUGCCUUAACCCAAAAAAUGAGUGUUUAGCCACUCAUGGAUGUAGCAAGAACAGUAAUGAAAUAAUCCAUGUAUAUAUCCAAUAAUAAACUAAAUAAAAGGAAGAAAACCCUAUUUCCAGCCUUAUCAGUCAUGUUUUCAUACCCUGAGGUAGUUCACCGUUCAUACACAAAGGUUGGAGUGUCCUAUUUAUAGUAGAACAAGAUUUGUUGUCGUUUUUAACAUAGGGGCAUGUCACACCCUUAUCGUGUGGACUAGGAUCCGCGGCAUGCCAUUAUCAUGCCUAGAUACUGGAAUUGAAAUUAAAAAAGGCAACCAAGGGUGUUCCAUGUCCUUAUCAUGACAUCUAGGCUACGUGGCAUGCCAAUGAGUCAAAAUUUUCCAGCUUUGCACAAUGCUUGUCCUAUGCGUUUACCCCUCAUUCCAACCUUUGUAGUGGUGUUUCAUCUUUAUUUACAGAUCAUGUAUCAUCCAUUAAUAAUCAAGAUAAAUUUACCAAACAUCAUAUAACAAUACAUACCCUGAAUUAUAGUUCAAAACCACAUAGCAUCCAACACAACAAACUAAAAAGGAACAUAACUCAAUCUAAGAGUACUAGUUUUCGCAUUUGAACUUUAACUUAGUGUUUUGACUCAAAACUCAUUAUGAACAUACCUUAAACACUAAAAAUACAUAAAUAAACACUUUGAUGCAAAUUUAUACAAAUAUUCACUCAAUAAGCACACAAGAAGUCCUCAAAAAAGGCUAAACAAGUUUGGAUAACCACACUUAGGUGCAUAAAUCCACCUAAGAUCAUCAACCCACACUUAAAGCUUUGUUCGUCCUCAAACAAAACUUCCCUUAGGCCUAAAGAUCAAGGAAUACUCCAACACUAUUACUAUGAGAAGCACAACAAAGCUAGCACUACAAUGACUACAUAGAUAGCAAGUUUCAUAGACAAACAUGUCUUGUAGAAUUGAGACCUAAACAAUACUACAAAAUAUCCUAACCUUAAGAAUUUACUCACCAAGUUGGAAAAUUCAUGCAUAUUACUCAAUCACAAAGAUCAUAUAAAUCACCUAAAUAUCAUCAAACAUGUUCCUUCAUAACAAGAGUGUUGCCCAUAAUCACUCACAUAGAUACAAUUAUCAUAAAAAUAGGUAUAAGGAUCAAAUUACAUUCACUCUCAUAGAGAAUUCACAAGUUACACAAGAUGAAACAUAGGCUUGCCCUUAGUGUAGUACUCUACUAAUUUUAAAAUGUUAAGAAUGAGGAUCAAAGAGGACUUUAAGGGUCUUAAUGUAGGCUAAGGGACGGGUAGGAACUAUUCCGGUCAGUAAUAGUGACUAUCUCCACUAAGUGUUUUAACACAUCACUUUAUAUAUUAAGAUCUUUCCUCAAAAACCAAACUUCCCCACAUCUAGCUCACACUUUCUUUUGUUUCCCCCUCUCUUUUAGCUAGUUUACGCAUACAGUAGUUUUAAUUUUACAUCAACACAUAAUUCAGUUUUUCACUUUUCAUUACAUCACUCCCACUCACAUCACAUAAAUUUUUUAACACCACUAGUUACUUCUUUAGGGCUUCACUUUCACCUCUUUUCCUUAUUAAUUUCACACUAUUUAUCUUCAUUAAUUUUUUUCAUCAAAAGAACUUAGGAGCUUUAGAUCAAAUUAAGGUCAACCAAAGAAGGGGACAACCUACAUAUGAGGCUACCAAAGAACUAGGCUAAGGCUCAAUAGGGCUAACUAAGAUUAUGUAUAAGGGUAGGUAAACAAAGGUAUAAACAUGGAUAUCAAAAAAUUGCAUAUAUUAUCUCCUAAACCCAUACUCUUUAUUUAUCUUUUCACACACACUAGACAAGUUCUAAACAUCAAUAUGUGAUGAUUGGUGAAUUUACCACUUUUGCUCUCAAUAAUUAUGCACACUACUAUGAUACGGAGGACAAAAUGAGACAUAAUUGUGAUUAAAUGCACUAAUAUCCACAUUCUAUUGGAACAUUAUUGAGGAGAUAGAAAGAUGUGGAUUGGAGCUAAAAACAAUCAAAAGAGUGUAAAGAAGUGCAAAUGAAGACCUUGAGUAGAACUUGGCCUCAGUUAUCACGAUCGUAGUCCUUAGACCAAGAUUGCGACCAGUCAAGAUAAUGCAAUCACAUGGCCUUUUUCACAAUUGUAGUAGGCGCAAUUGCAGCCACACUGGUGCAAUCACGACCUAGAAAAAAAUCAGCCCAAGGGAAAAGAUGUAACACCCAUAGCCAUUGCCAAAUUUUCCAUAAAGAAGACUCAAACCAUAUCAUUCCAAUGGAUUCUACUUUUUCUACAAUUACCAACUAUUGAACAUUGUUCUAGCUCUUAGCCUCCUUACUUGGAGAAGAAAACAUUGUAUUAAUUUUGGCUGAAGAAUAUAUUGGAGUAGCUUCUAAGAGGAGAGCUAGAAACCUCCCAUUGAAGAUUCGCUUGAUUCCAAAGUUUGAAGUAACUUUCCCUUAGACCUAUAUGAAUCAAAUCAAUGAAGAUUUUAGGUAUACCUUUACUUAUCUAUCUUAUGAGCAGAUCUUAUUUCCUAUUGAGAUUAUGUAUGAAUUAGGUUAAAGUGUAUAUGGGUUGUAUUGUUAGUUUCAAUUAGUAGUUCAUGCUGAUGGGUUUUGCAAAUGCUUGAUGAUGAUAUCGGAUUUGUUGGUGAAAUCCUCAAAUUUUUGAACCCCCUCAACAUCCUUGCCAAAAGGAUGUGGGUAACCUUGUUCCUUCAACCAUUCUUGAAAGAGGGGUUGAAAGUGACAUGAGCAUUUAUGAACAAUUACUUAGAUUAUAGUUGUUCCCUUUUUGUUAUCUUAGAAAUAAGGAUAAAUGUAGAAUUGCUAUGUCUUAGGCAUCAUCCUAGAAAUAGGGAUGCCUAAAUUGUGGUUUGGUUACCAAUUAUUGAACACACCCGUUUGGUUUCUAAAAGAAUCAAUGGGUGAUAGUUUGGUGCUUUGUCAAAAGGCUAGUACUAACACCCCUAACUGAACCUACCCACAUUUGAUCUACUAGAAAUAAAGUUGAUGAUUUAAACCCACAUGUUAGCUUUCCUUAGUAAGGCAAAACCCCAAUAUCCAUGUCUAAUUGAGUAGACUAUAAUAAUACAUAGCCUGAAGUUGGUACUUGAAAAAAACAUAAAUAAAUAUUAGUGUUGAUACCUUUCACACCCCUUAUUUUUAUCCCUUUUUUACUAUUGGUUUAAAUUUAACAAGUAUCCAUUAUUUUAAAUUAACUUGAUCUCUAUUUACAUUGUUCUUUGUGGAUUCAACUCCCACUCCAAAGUGGGGUAAAUAUAUUGACGAGACUGCCUUGUACUUAAAUUUAUGUGUAAGUUGAGCAUCACCAUAAAUGGUGCCGUUGUUGGGUAACAAUUUGGUGUAUCAAGCUAGUUUGGAUUUCUAGCUUACUUGCUUGAAUUUGAACUAGUAAACAUUUGUUUGUGAUUUUCUUUUAUUUCUUGUGUUAGGUAGAUUUUUAUUUUUACUUACUUUUCUCUAUGCCAUCUUUCGACAAAUAUAAUUUUGGUAGUUGGAAGUCCUAUCUUGACGAUCCAUGUCUAUAUUGUGAUGGAUCCCACUUUGAGAGAGAUUGUAGAUUUUAUCCUCGAAGAAAAAUGAAAGCACCAUCUCGAUCUUAUUGGGAGUAUGUUUGUUCUUUAUGUGGUGGUCGAGAAGGACAUUGAAGUGAUUGUCAAAAUGCCCCUCCCUUUAUUAUGCUAAAACAAAUGCUAGUUCUUCUUAUGAGUUUGCUAGGUUUUAUAAUGAGAAGAAGAAAGAGCAACAUACCGGGUCCAAUAGUUUGAAGCAAUGAUUAAAACUAUCUUAGAUUGGGUAACUACAACGGGGGAGAACGUGCAAGACAUUCAAUAAUCCAAUGAGGAAUUUGGAAGGGAAAUUAUCAUGAUGAAGGAAAUAGGAAAGGAGACAAACCUUGCAAAUACCACUACCUUUCCCACUUCCUAAGAGGAUAUUAAUCAAGAAGAGAAACUAACUGUGAUGAUGAUCUUGGUAGCAAAGAACACUCAGUGAUUUCCCAACCAACCUAACAUCAUAUGUUUGAAGAUACCAGAACAAAGAAAAUGAUACUAGAGUGAAAAGAACAAGCCAAGCAAAUAUCUUAUGACUACUCUAGUUCAUUUUAAGGCAAAGGUGCUGAUAGGAAUGUAAUUUUGGAAUUUAGGGAUGGACCUCACUCAGACCAAUUUUUUGCAUUGUGCUUAGAAGAUGUGAUGAGAAUCUAUCCACCUAGGCAAAUGUUGGAUCGUUGAGAAAAGGAGUACCAUCCCUACAUUUUGGAAUUUGACAUUUCGAAAGAGCACAAAGAAGCCCCACCAUCUGAGGCUAGGGAACUCAACUUUCGAUAUAUAACUAGUGACCUAUUAAUGUCCUAACUUUUACCCAAGAAGCCGAAUAAAAAGUUUGAUAAAAAAUUGGGUCAAAGGUUAAUAUCUUCAAGGUGGCGAGAUAAAUCCUUUCUCAUCACGUCCUCACAUCUGCUAUUGUUCAUCUUGGAAGAUCUAAAUCUUUUGUCCCUCUAUCGCUCAAUGCAUAGUGAGCAAAAUUUGGGGAUACGGUUUAAAUUUUCUAAGUGGAAACGUAAAAAUAAGUUGAGGAGGUGUCAUGCCGUGAUGUUAAACUAAGCUCUCAAUAGAAGGUACCCCAUCAAGCAUGAAAAGUGGCUUAUAUCCAUUUAUUUAUACAUGAUAGAGUAGAUUUUUUUUUUGUUCAUGCAUAAUCCGUGAAAAGGUGGUACUAUGAUAAGUGUUGACUGAAAUUGAAAAAGGGAAAGUGUGAAAUUAUCUUGUUUUAAACUUGACAAGGGAAUGAAGGGUACAUAAAUUUUGGUCUUAGUUACCACGAUCGCGGCCCAUGUCACCAUGAUCAUGGAGGUCGCAUGUCUACGAUUAUGGAACUAGGACCGCGAUCGCAGUAAAAUCAACUUAAAUAACCAUCCAAUUGCCAUUCUCCCCACAAAUCCUUUUUCAAUUUUUCUCAAAUUCUCUCUAAGUUUUGGAUUUGUGAUGAUUGUCCAAGUGUUUAUUUCAAUCCAUUUGCAUCAUCUAACUUGGUACUAGGUUGAAAAGAUGGGAGACUUUGACAAUAAUAGGUUCAUGGCCAAUGAAUUUCAAAACCUUUACUAUGGUGGCCUGCAUAAGACGAAUUUACACCCGAAAAGGGGUAUUUUUAUAGAUAAUAUGGAGGAGAAACUCCUGGGAUUCUAUGCCAAGAUCACUGAUACUGAGUGGAUGUGCUUUACCCCAAACCCCUGCUAUGAUAAUGAGCAUUGGGUACGUAAGUUCUACACAAAACAUAGCAUAGUUUUCUUACAAACCUAGUGAUGACAAUUCAGGGAAAGAAGGUAAACUAUAGAGCAGAGUGGAUCAAUGGGAUAUAUGGGCUCCAGGAUGCAGAUAUGACCCAGUUUUAAGCAACAGGAUGCUAGCCAAAGACUUUGAUAACAAACAUAUUAUGUCCUUACAAAGAAGUUCUCUGGUCCAUCACCAAAAGAUAUAUUUCUAUGAAUGACUUUAUAGCAGAGUCUAUGCUUUGGCUGAACAACAUCUGCAGUAGAGUAUCUCUAUGAACACAUAUGACUACCGUCAUAGAUCUGGGAGCUUUAAUGGUGGCUUAUAUCCUAUUUGGUAUUUCUCUAAAUAUGGGAAAAAUUAUGAUCUCUGAGUAGAGACAUUUCAAGAAUCAUAGAGGUACAAUUCUUCUCUUUUCUUCCCUUAUCACUAAGCUAUGCAAUAGGGUAGAGGUAGAGGAAUAUGUUGUAGAUACCUAGGUUCACCCAGGCCCCUGCAUCUUUCCACUAAAAUCCCAAGGGAGGGUGCCCCUGGUCAGAGCAAGAAAACAAAGAUGAACUUGGUCAAGGCAACACAGGAGUACCCAGACACUUGUAGACCUUCUUUAGAAAACCCUUUUGAUAAGAUCUUAGGACAGCUAUAAGUGAUGAAGGAGCUAGUUUCUAAACUGCCUCAGGGACCGAGGGAGCCCUCCACUGCUUGCUACUUAUAUUUAGAUCAAUCAUAUUAUGAGAUAUAUUAGGAGGAGAAGAAGAAGCAAAAGACAAUAAUUGCUAGAUUGGAUAGAGCCUAUUUAGACUUGGCUUAAUCACACAGGGACCUUAAGGAGUCACAUAACAAGAUAAAGAGAGGGGGAAGAAGAGGGACAAAUUUUUCACUAAUAUGUGGAAAGGGGUCAAGGGCCUUUGGAAAGUCCUAAAACCCUAUUAUAUAUUUACUUCUCCGAGGGUUGAUAGUGAUGAUGAGGCCUCUGUUAAUUAGUUAGCCAAUGAUAUUGGUGGUGAUAGUGUAGAUUUAGUGGGAGAGAAAAGCACCUGAUGCAGAUUCAGGGACACCCCUUACCCUUUACAUAUGAUUUAUUGUGUACGCAGUGAGGACACUGCUUUCUUCUCACUUUGGGGUGCCUUUCCCUAGAUUUGUAUUAUUUGGAUAUAUUUCUAGAUAUUUUAUGUUGUUUUGAUUACAUUCUGGAUGUUUUAUUUUGAUUUUGGGAUGCUACAUUUGGGCACUCUGAUGGAGCCCAUAUUUUCAUAGAUUAUCAUUUUGUUUUGUUUUUAGAUUUUUUGUGUUAAUUUAGUUUUAGUUUGAUUAGGAUAAUGCAUAAUGAGCUUUGACCUAUGAUAGAUUGAGUGAUGACAUUCCUAAAGGUAAAGUUUCAUGUUUGGGUGUUGAAUUAUAGAUUCAGGGAAAUUCUGAGUACCUAUGUUAUCAAAGUCAUACAUGCUAUUGGCAAAGUUUGAGUAGCCAUAUGGUUGGUUCACCCAUAUUAAGUAAAAAUAUGAGACUAAGGUUUCGUUCGUUGCCAUAAGCUAGCAAAUUAUGCAUAGUGCAAAUGCAAAAUAAACAAACCACUUCGUCCAAAACUUUUUCAAAAAUCGAGGGUAUGGACGUGAUCAAUGUUGUAACAAAACUAUGUCUCUUUUUGUGACUCCAUAAUUUUUGACUUGUAAAUAUUGAUAGAUACUCCAUUUUUGAAUUGAAUGUGAGGGGCGAAUCAAGUCUCCUUGGCGAGUUCACAUGCCACGUGCAUUGAGAUUAUUUGUUUAAAUCUCAGGUAGAAUUAUGUCAUCUAGAACUUGCUCCAUUA
rnacentral:lncRNA from 1 species